AAAGUACUAAUUUUUGAAUAAAUUAAAGGCUGAAUUACAGAAAAUCUCUAUGUCAAAACCCGAUUUUUUAUUUUACCCCCCUAUUAUUUAAAAACCUACAUUUUGCCUCCUUGUAAAAUAAAAAAUAUUCACAGGAGUACAGUGUGAACUUGGAUGAUAAAAUGACCAUUUUGUCCCUCACCAUUUUGCCCCUCACCAUAUUCACAGGAGAGAAGACCGAGGGCAUUUUUGGUAUAAAAAAAUAUAUAAUAAUAUUUUAUAAACGGAACACUAACGGAUUACUAACAGCAGGGGGCGAAAUGAACAUUUUUUAUUUUACAAGGAAGUAAAAUGUAGGUUUUUAAAUGACAAGAGGAAAAGUAAAAAAUCGGGUUUUGACCGGAAAGUUUAUGUAAUUUAGCCUAAAUUAAAUUACAAUAUUACCUCCUAAACUUUUUUUUUUUUUUUUUCAAAUUACAAGAUAUAGGAUUGAUUAUUUACUUGUAUUGUUUUCGUCUUGACCUGUCCCGAAUAAAAUAGUAAGUGAAGAUAAAAAAGAAUCUCCCGUCUAUCAAGCAAAAACCUUGCUAAUAAGUGCUUUAGGUGUCUUGUCAAGGACCACAAAGUUACGGCUUGUCGUGAUCCUGUAAAGUGCCUUGGGGUAUCGGUGGUUCACCACCCCCACCAUCUUUUGUCCUCUCCCAGUUGUGCAAAUGAACCAAAACGGAGAAUAGCUCCUCGCCAAACACCUUUUAAUUUAUUUUUAUUUUUAUUUUUUCGUCUCGUCUGUCGCGGUUUUAGCCUAGUUCAUCUCAUUCAAUGAAUGAAGCAGGUAGCGUGCUACCUUUUAUAAAAAAAAAUAAAGAUAAAAAAAUAGAAUAAAAAUUAUUUUAUUUUAAAUCUGUCAUGAUCCGUCAAAAAAUUUGGGUAGAAAGUAAGGGACCCCUCCCGCCUUUAUAUCCACUUUGUUUUUAUUCCUACUUAUAAAGAUUGAAUACUCAAUUAACAAAAGGAGGUUUAAGAGUACAAUUAAAGAAGUGGGAAAAGAUUGGAGAACAAAAGUGCAAUUUAUCUUAAAAAUAUAUAUAUAUAUAUAUAUAUAUAUAUAUAUAUAUAUAUAUAAUAUAUAUAUAUACUGUUAUUACUUACGGCAACUAAUUUGCCAAAUAGAGUUUCGUAGAGUCAACUUUUUCGCCUUGAAAAUUUUUGUGUGGCGCCCUAAUGUCAUACACUCAGGCCGGCCUUUCCGAAUUCUUAAAAGGAACAUUCCUUUAAACUUAAUAGAAAAAUAUCAAUUUAAAUAUUUUCGCCAAGUGCACUCCUCCACGAGCCUUAUAGUUUGGCAUCGUGUCUUAUAUCGAAUCUCUCGUCGAACUCCAUGAGCUCUCGAGUAACAACCCCGCCACAAAAGGUUGCCAUACAGUCAGAGAACAUUUUGUCUCACCGGAGAACCCUCCUCAAGAAUACUAUACAACCGAACGCUUCGUUGCUCUCAAAGCUAGCCACACUUCGUUGCUCUCAAAGCUAGCCACAAGAAUAUCACAAGUUCUCUUUACUUAAUCUUAUUUGAUUAUAGCCGAGCGUUUCGCUCUAAUAUUUCACCAGAUGCCACUCCCAAAUCCUCACUGCAUAAUAAAAUUAUUUAUGUUGUAUAUAUUAAAUUAACUUGUUUUUAUAUUUUAAUAGGUGUUAUAUUACUACCACUAGAUUUGACUCGUGCCAAGAGCCAACUUGGCUGAUUCCAUCCAUGUUGGUUUUGUUUUUAAAGUAUAAUAUAAAAAGGUUAAAUUACAGAAAACCCCUUUAUCAAUACUUUUUUUUUCACUUUCCUUCCUGUCAUUAAAAAUCUAUAUUUUGCCCCCUUGAAAAAUAAGAAAUAUUCACAGGGGUACACCAUGACAAAAUGACCAAAAUGCCCCUCAUCAUCUUCGUCUUCUCUCCUAACCUCGCUUAGUACUCGCCUCUCCUCUUUCGUUCUUCGCACCUCGCUCAACCGCAGCUCAGACUCCAUUUUUCUCCACAUGCUUCCCCGCUCUUCCUGCACUCGCGUUGUCCCUCUAUUUCGGCGACGAUAGGAAGGAGAUCGGAGUGAGCAUGGACGGAGAGGUGUGCGAGGACGAAGGCGAGACGGCGAAGGUGCACGAGAGCAUGUGUGUGAACACGAAUGGAUGGGUGGGCGAGGGCCAGACGGCGGUGUAGGGCGGCGAGAAAGGAGGCGGCAGGGAGGAGAGGGUAUUUUGGGUAUAAAAAAUAUAUAAUAAUAAGAUAUAAACGGAACUCUAACGGAAUACUCACGGCAGGGGGCCAAAGUGAAUAUUUUUUAUUUUUUAAGAGGGCAAAGUGUAGAUUUUUAAAUGACAGGGGAGAAAGUAAAAAAGCGAAUAUUGACAGAAAAAUUUUCUGUAAUUUAGCCAAUAAAAAAUAUAUCAUUUUAAUUAAUAGGUGUUAUAUUAUUAAACUCUACUUUUUGAAUAGGUGCCAUAUUAUUCAAUGUUGGGAGACCACAUAUUCUCUUUUAGAAUCUCCACAUUUGUAAAUUUUUUCAUUGAAUUUAUUUUAAUAUUAAUGGUUACUCUUUUUUUUUUUUUCCUAUGACGUUGACAGCUGACAUGCACUAGAUGUGGCUCAAAAUAAAUUAAAAGGGAAAAAAAUUCAAUAUAAUCCUUCUUUCUAAAUUUAUUGGUCUUUUUAUAAAAUUUUUUUUGAUUUUUAUAUUUUGUAUAAACGGACCAGAUUUUUAGAUUUUAUAUAUUAAGGCAAGAAUUUUUAAAAAUAAACUAAAAUUUCCUUCUCCUUUCUCACUUUCUUUUCUCUUUUUCUCUCACUGUAUUAACUUCUCUUUUUUUUUUUUUGAAAAAUACAACUGUCAAACAUAAUUACAUCUAAAUUUUUUUUGAAAAGAUGAAAACUGUCAUUAUACAAUUUUUUUUUUUUUAAGUACAAUCUCUUUUCAAAUAGUGCAACUAUAUAUAGUAUGAUGCAAAUAGUACAAUCCAAGCAUAAUAAUGCAACUAUAUAUAAAUAGUGCGUUGCAAAUAGUAUAAUAUAUUUUUUUAUUUUUUCAUUCUUUGUAAUCUUUUUCUUUUUCUCUUUUUUUUGCCGUUAUUCUUCUUCUUCUCCCAUCCGCUAGCGGGCCUCCCCCAAUGACAUGAUCAUCAUCACCACCCUCUUUAUGCACUCUGAUGUCGAUGCCUCAACCUCGUGUGGUGGCACCAUUACCUCCUACACCGCUGCAUUAUCGUUUUCUAUGUUGUCAUCACCAAUUAUCUUCAUCUUUUUCUCGAGUUUGGUGGUGGUGGUUGAGGGGAAGAAGAAGAAUAAAAUUAAAAACAACAAAGAAGAAAAGAAGAAAAAAAAAUUUAUUAUACUAUUGGCUAAAUUACAGAAAAUUUUACUGUCAAAUUUUGAUUUUUCACUUCUCCUGUCAUUUAAAAACCUACACUUUGCCCUCUUGUAAAAUAAAAAAUGUUCACUUCAACUCCUGCUGUUAGUAAUCCAUUAGAGUUCCGUUUAUAAAAUAUUAUUAUAUAUUUUUUAUGCCAAAAAUGCCCUCAGUCUUCUCUCCUGUUGCGAAAAAUGGUGAGAGACAAAAUGAUCAUUUUGUCAUCACAGUUUAUACCGUACCGCCCUUUCAUCAUUUUUUAUUUUUUACAAGGGGGUAAAGUGUAGGUUUUUAAAUGACAUGAAGAAAAGUGAAAAAUCGAAUUUUGACAGAAAUAUUUUAUAUAAUUUAGCAUAUACUGUUAUAUUUAUUCUAUACUAUUUAUAGAUACUAGUGUUGAACCCGCGCUUCGCUGCGGGCAAUUUUAAGAAUAAACGCCGUACAAAAAACUAUUUUACUAUUAUAAAAGUAAUUAAUCGUUAUUUCAAUCUCUAAAUUAUAUGAUUUUAAACCAUACAAAUUCAAACAAAACAAAAAUACAAAUAAGACCAAUCCACAAAGAGACCAUAGCUUUAAGUACAAAUUUACGUCCAACAGACCAAUAAACAGAAAAACAAAAGAGAGAAGUGUAGUAGGCACAAUCAUCAAAAUACAUAUUUUAAAUAAACCAUUGCAUAACUUUAGACCAAACAACACAAAAAUUAUGUGCACAUGCAUGACCAUCAGGACCAAAAUGAGGAGCAGCAAGACACAACCAGCAGUACAUGACCAGAAUGAGCAACAGCAAGACACAACCAGCAUCUGCAAAAUUAAUAAUUUGAUUAAAAAGGUGUGCAAAUCUAAGCUAUAUAUAAGUUACAUCCUCUAUUACACUUACAUAUGCAACAUAAAUAUUAUAUUCCCGGAAAAAAGUGUGCAAAUCUGAAAUUCUGUUGGAUGCACCAAGUACAAACUAAAAUCAAAUUGAUACUAAACUUGAGAACUUAAGUAACUCUUCUUAGUUACAUCCUCUAUUACACUUUCAUAUGCAUCAUAAACAUUAUAUGGCCCAAAAAAAAAUAGGUGGCAUAGUAGACGCUGCAAAAAAAGAAACCCGAGAAAAAAGGAGGGGCAAAGAAAAGGUAAAGGAGAAGUUAGUUGUAAAUAAAUUAGUUUUUAAAGAUAUUUUGUAGAAAGGGUCCAGCUUAGUAAGAAGAAUUUGAACCAAAACAGCAUAGCAAAAUAGUCGUAAAAAGACCCAAAGUUUCAAUAUCAAUAAUAGAUUAAGCUUUGUAAGAAGAAUCUAAACUGAAACAUCAAAUUGUAAAGCCAAUGGGUAAUAAAAGGAGAGAGGAAAAUCUGAAAUAAGUACGGCUGAAAACUGGUAAAAAGAGAGACUAUAUAAAAAGAAAAAAAUCAAGAAUGCGGCAGCUAGGCUCAGGUAUUACAGGCAAGUAAUUUAUGCAAUGAAAGAAGACAUGCAGGAGGAUUGGUCCAUUAGUUAAAGAAGCAUCCCUGAGCCAACUGAUCUAAAAAUAGUAAGUGGUUGCCCUAAUAAGGCCAUCCAAACUUCUAUUUCAUCCUGCCUGCAAAUCAUUUGUUGUGUAGAAGAAGGGCAAGAGAUGCAAAUAGAAAGUAGUUGCCUAUAAUUAGGCCGUCCAAACUUCUAUUUUAUAUUUUGCAUCCUUUAUGCCUGAUUAUCAUCAUUCCCUAGGAGAAAGGCAAGAAAUACAACAGCAAAGAAAAGAAAAGGGAGCCUUGAAUCAUUGGUGAAGUAAACAACAACAAACAAAAACUCAAUAGAGUUUAACCAAAACGAAACAGUAAAAAUCAAUAAAGAUCAGAAAAGAGUGGACCAAUGCAUAACGUUGAACCCAUUAUAUGAUGGUUCUGUCAACAGCAAUGGAAAAAAAUGGGCUCCUUAAAUCAUCGGAGAAGUAAACAGAACAGAAACUGAAUAGAGUUUAACCAAAACGAAACAUUAAGAACCAAUAAAGAUCAAGAUCACCUAUAAAGUGUAAACAAAUGGGAGUUUGUAGAAUGAAGUAUAUCAACCUUUGUGCUGAGAAUGAAGUCACAGUAACUGUAGCCGCAAAAGUUGUACACGUCAGGAAAAUACCCUUUUUUUUUGUUUUUAGGGAAUAGAAGAAGGCUGUAACAUCCAGAAGACCAGGCAGCAAGUAAUAAAGAGACCCUUUGUGCUGUUAUGGCUGCAAAACGUGCACAACCGAAGAAAAUACCCUUUCUUCUGUUUUUAGGAGAUAGUAAAAGACUGUAGUAUGCAGCAAGUACUAAAGAGACUAAUUUAUAAUGCUUCUGACUGAAGCUCUGCACUCUCACAGAAGUGAAAAGUGAAGGCAACAGUGGGAANCCUUUGUGCUGUUAUGGCUGCAAAACGUGCACAACCGAAGAAAAUACCCUUUCUUCUGUUUUUAGGAGAUAGUAAAAGACUGUAGCAUGCAGCAAGUACUAAAGAGACUAAUUUAUAAUGCUUCUGACUGAAGCUCUGCAGUCUCACAGAAGUGAAAAGUGAAGGCAACAGUGGGAAGAUCAGGGUGUUGGUUGUGCAGAGUAAGACAGCAAGAAAAAUCCAAGAGAAUUAGAAUGAAAAUCUUUUGGAACUCUAAGGAGAUCUUCUUUACAGAGUAAGACAGUUCAAACAAAAUUUUUGCCAUGUUAGGCCUCUCUGCAGAGUUGUGCAUUGGAAAAUGAGUGGGGAUCUGUUAAAAUCCUAGUUAAAAUCUUAGAGAUCUUUUGAAAAUCUGAAAUAUUAGAGAGGCAACAGAGGAUACAUUCACAAACUUCGAUGGCCACCAUCCAAUAGACGGACUUAUGGCAUCCGCGCGGUCGAAUCGAAGGGUGGAGCGAUCUAGAGAGAGAUCGCACAACUUACCUCCAUAGGUAGGAAGAUAGGGUCUAGAGAAGGUGUACUCAUGGCAUCCGCGCGGUCGAAUCGAAGGGUGGAGCGAUCUAGAGAGAGAUCGCACAGCUCACCUCCAUUCACGAUUGGCGAAGAUCAAGAGAGGCCUCGAUAGGUAGGAGGAUAGGGUUCCCAUGAGAGAGAGAGGUAGAGAGACAAAGCAGUGAGCAGAGGCGAAAGAAAGGCCUCGGAGGAGAGAGGGAGGGCAUGGAGAGACGCCUCGGGAAAGGCUUAGAGGGGCGGCGAGAGGAGAGAGGGAGGCCGUGGAGAGACGGGAGAGGCUUAGAGGGGCGGCGAGAGGAGAAAGGGAGGCCGUGGAGAGACGCCUCGGGAGAAGCGUACAGGGGCGGCGAGAGGAUAGAGGGAAGGCGUGGAGAGACGCCUCGGAAGAGGCGGGCAUAGGGAGGAGAGAGAAAAGAGAGGGCGUGGAGAGAAGCCUCGGAAGAGGCGGCAUAAGGAGGAGAGAGAAUGGAAAAUUAGGGUAGGGUUUUUAGGUUAACCUUUAGGCAGAAAUGACAAAAAAAAAAAAGAAGAAAAAAAGUAGAGGGUUAGACAGAAAAAGAAAGAAAUUUCAGAAAUGACAAAACUGAUGUGGAAGCAUAAAACUUCGCCACGUCAUCAGUCACAAUCAUCAAAUUAUGUAUUUGUAUGGAUAUGAUACUAUUUAACAAAUGUUGCACUAUUUUUGGUGCAUAGUUUAUGCAAAAUUGUACUAGUGUUGCUCUAUUUGAGAGCAAAUUGAGCUCUUUAAUUUUGUUUGGAGAAAAAGUUGUUUGCAGUUAUGUUCGUGAGUGUUGCUUAAUUUCCAAUAAAAUGAGUAAUUAAAACGGGAAAGAAAAUGUGGAAAGCGAGAAUAAUGAGAGAAGAGACAAAAUACAAUUUUAUUGCAAAGUACAACUGGCAUUAAUUGUUUCUUUAUAGAAAACAAAAGAUAAAUUAAUUAAAGGAUAAACUUCAAAUACCCCCCGUGGUUUCAUACAUUCUGACUUGGUACCUUGUGGUUUAAAGUGUAUCAAGUUAGUCCCUGUGGUUUCGAACUUUCUCACUUUAGUAUCCUAUGGUUUGAAGUGUAUCAAGUUAGUACCAUGUGGUUUCAUUUUUCUCUUUUUAUUAUUCAUUUCACUAUUUUGUUUCGUUAAAUCAGUGACAAAGUUGAAAUUAAAAGGUACUAAAGUGAAUAUUUAAUAAACCUAGGUAAGGUAUCUGAAGUUUUUUGUAUAUAAUAUAACGAAAUAUUAACGGAGGAAAAAAAAUCAGUGAUAAAGUUAAAACUAAAAGGUUCUAAAGUAAAUAUUUGAUAAACCUAGAUAGGGUAUCUAAAGUUUUUUGUAUAUAAUUUAACGAAAUAUUAACGGAGGAGCCGGCGAAAAGAAAAAAAUGAAAUUACAGGAUAUUAAAUUGAUGCACUUUAAACCACAUGGUACUAAAGUGAGAAAAUGCGAAAUCACAGGGUAUUAAAUUGAUGCACUUUAAACCACAUGGUAUUAAAGUAAAAAAUUACAAAAUUACGGGAGUGGUAUUUGAAGUUUACCUUAAGUACUUAAUUUAAAAUUUAAAGUCAAAGUACAGCUAACUGAUUCAAAUUAAACAAACUAAAAAAUCAGAGAGUAAAAUAAAAAAUUAUGCAAAAUUGUAUAGCUAUUUCAAAAUAAUCCAUAAUGUAGAUAAGUUGUGUACAUUUUUUAUCUUUAUUAUAUUCCACUAAUUUUACUUUGUCUUUGUUGCGGGUUCAAAUAGCUUUGAGUGACUUAACUUGUUUUGGCCUCUAAUAUUACUCUCCCUCAUCUUAUCUUAUCUAAUAUAAUAUAAUAGGCUAAAUUAUAGAAUAUCUUUCUAUCAAAACUCGAUUUUUCACUUUCCUCUCUGUCAUUUAAAAAUCUACACUUUGUUCCCCUAAAAAAUAAAAAAUAUUUAUUUUGGACCCUGCUGUCAGUAUUCUGUUAGGGUUCCGUCUAUAUUUCAUUAUAUAUAUUUUUUAUACCGAAAAUAUCCUUUUACAGAUAAAGGAGGAUUGGGGGAGGAGAGGAAGAGGGAGAGGGCAUUUUGGUUAUUUUAUCAAUACUAUUAACACCGUACCUCCUGUGAACAUUUUUUAUUUCUUAGGAGAGCAAAGUGUAGAUUUUUAAAUGAUAGAAAGAAAAAGUGAAAAUGGGUUUCGCUAGGAGAAUUUUCUGUAAUUUAGUCAAUAUAAUAUAAAAUUACUAUGUUAUCUUUAAUUAGAUAUUUACUAUUUCACAUGAUUUAAUAGGAUUGAAACGUGAAAUUUUACAGUAAUAGGAUUUUUACUAUUUUACCUCAUUCAGUCAUUUUAUUUUUCGUUUUCACGGAGUUUCGGCAAACAAAAUUGUGUACUUUUACUUCAAAAAGAAAAAUAAUUUGAGAUUUUAAGGUUCAAAAAUAAAAAGCUCCAAUACAAGGCUUCACCUUAUACUAUAAUAAAGAAUAAUAACUAAUAGAAAUAAUGGCCUAUAUACCCCUUAAAAUUUCAAAAAUAUUUUAUAUAUCAUUUUUUUUUAAUAUACUCCUUGUAUGUUUCUCUGUUAUUCCAAAAUAUCUCUAUAAUUAUCACCCGUUAACUUAACUUGAAUUAAAUGUGAGUUAAAUAUCUAUUAGAAUUUUAAAAAAUCAAAAAUUUUCUUUUGCUCUUAGCUUAAGAGCAAAUAAGAAAUAUUGGUAAUGGUAGAAGGAUAUAUUUGAAAAUACUAAAAAUCAAAAUACUUUUUGUACGCCUAACUUAAAAGCAAAUAAGAAAAGUCAAUGGUGGAAGGGUAUAUUUGAAAGGGCAAAAUAGUAAUUCAUACAUAUACCAGCUAUUGCCAACCGUUCAUUAAUAGAAUUUAACUUUAGGGGUAUGUUUGAAAUAUGUUGGAACGUAAAAAAAAGUACUUUAAAUAUUAACCUUUUAAGAGGGGUAAAUCAAAAAUUUGAAAACUUUUCAGUGGUGUAUAAAUAAUUGCUCCUAACUAAUGUCCUUCAAAACUUUGUAAUGUGGGCCGUGUGUUGGGCCGGCACGGCCCACAUUUUUUGUGCUAAUUCGCGAGAUUUCAAAUUCGGGUCGGGCCGUGCCGGGUUGGAGCUACCAACUCUCUAGCCUAGCAUGGCUCUUCGGCCCGAAAUGCCCGAGCCGUGCCGGACUAGGCCGUGCUCUGGGCCGGCCCCUUAAAAAUAAACAAAUAAUUUUUUUUAUUUAAAAAUUUAAAAUUUAUAAAAAUAAUUAUAAUAUAACAAAUAUUUAAUUUUUUUAAAAAAUAUAUAUAUAAUUUUUUUUUUGAAAAAAAAUUGGAGAGCGUUUUUGAUCCAAUGGACCAAAAUUGUUUGGUCCAUUGGACCAAAAACGUCUUCCCACGGUUUGCCACAGCAGACCUCGACCCUUCGCCCCAGGAGAUCCAACAGCCUUGGGCCUUGGGGUUCGGGCCGUGCUGGCCCGGAUGGCACGGCCUAAGCGGGUCGUGCCAUGCCAGGCCACGGACUUCCCUUCGGCCCGGCACUGCCUAGGCCCGUAUUGGGCCGUGCCGGGUCAGACCGUCGGCCCGGAGAAGCUUGGGCCAGUAUGGCCCAUAGAGCCGGCCCGGCCUGACAUAAUGCUACAGUAGCUGUGCCGGGCCAUGGGCCCGCAGUCGUGCCGGGUCGGGUGGCCCGUUUACGCCCAUAUAAGAUUUUAGAAGAAUAUUUUGAAUAUUGAGGGAUAAAUUUAAAAAUUUUUAAUAGUAAUAACAGGCGUAAAAGUAAAAGAUUAUAUAGCUCAAUGAGUGAUAACAAUAGAAUAAAAGACAAAAGAAGAGUCGAAAAAUUUAUGCUACAUAUAUGUUAUAUGCCCUAGGGUAUGUUUGCUCCAUCAUAAGUGGAGGUGGCGAAAUUAUUUUCAAUAGUAAAUGUCUAUGUCUGCUUCUAUUAUUUAGUUUGUCGAAAAUUAAAUACUCUUAUAUCUUUAAUUUCUCAAAACAUUGUAAUUAACCUCGCCAAGUCGGAUGACAAAGCCAUUAUCUGAAAAAAAAAAAAAAGAAGAUAAAAAUGUAAAUAUUAUAAUUAUUUUUUAAAAAAAUUUAGUAGAAUAAACAAAAAUAAGAAUAACUAUAGUUUCAAAGUUAUUGAUUAUUGUAAAUUCAGGAAAUUAUAGGCAAGGACUAAAAUGAAAGUAUUUUAUAUGCACAGCAAAUUAGCAAUUUUUAACAUCGAACCUCAAAGUUUGAGGACCAAAUAGAAAUUGGAUCCAAGUUCGGAUACUAGUGGUGCAAUUUACACCCUAAAGAGGAAGAGAAAACCUCGUCCUUCGUUUUCACCACCACUCCCUUCUCUCUCUCUCUUUCUCUCUCUCUCCUCUUUUCCUCGCUCAAAUGGUCUCCGAUCCCCGAGGUCGACGACGAUGAGGCGAAGCUUCGCCGCGCCCUCUCCUCCCCUUCGUACAGCUAUGAAUCAUGUGAGAGCCGCGCUCCUCGGCGCCCGCGCCGCGCCGCCGCAGCCGCCGCUUUUUGCCGCCGCGGCGCUCUUCCACUCGACUCCGGUGUUGGAGCGGAAGAGGAGGACCCAAUGGCACUACGUGAGUUCGAUUCCAACUUGUUCUUCUCUUUCCUUUUUCAUCUACUUGCUGUCUCGUCGCUCUUCGUUUUGGUCCUCCAAGUGUUCGAUGAAUUGCGUGUGAGAAUAGGCUCUCGAGUGGGAAAAUUUUAGGGCAUUUAUGGAUUCAAAGAAUGGUUUUGUUUGCUUGAAUGUAGAAUUUGUUGUUGAGAUGUGGGAAAAGCUUGCUCUUUGAUAGGAGUUCAUUGUAAAGCUUCCUAACUUUCUUAAUUUUGCAUUGUUUAUUUGGGGUUUGGCUCAUUAUGAAGCAAAAAAGUUAACACAUAUGGCAAACUUGGGGUUCUAUGCUUUAUUUUGAAUUAGGACUUUUGCCUUUCAUAUCUGAGAUAUGGCUUCCAAGGCUUAUUGUAUUUUGUUGAUUAUUCUUAGUGCAUGUGAUUGUUCUGUGUCGAAGAGAAACAAACAUUUGAUCACUUGCCAUUAUUUUUAACAGAGAUUCAACUACUAUGCAAAACGAAGGAGAAAUAAAGAAUCAAAAACGACGUUGCUACGAAAUAUCUCCGAUUAUGCUGAAUACCUUUUUCAGGUUUGUGUGGAAUCUUGUAGACUUUUGAAUCAUUCACAAGUUUCUUUCAAUACUUCACUAUCCUUUCAACCCUAUACAAAAGCUAUUUACUAUCUUAUGUGUGGAUUUUUGGUUUUAGGUUUUGUAGUUGUUUAUAAAAAUUUGUCAAUUUUCUUUUUUCUAAUUGUUAAGUUGUGCUGUAGCUGAAGUGCUGAACCCAUAUUGCUGGGAAGGGCUGAUGAAAUUUUGUCAAUUGGAGAUGUAAUAGAAGUGUUUAAAAUUUGUUUGCUAGCAUAAAUGAUUCAAGUAUGAGAUCCAUGCAGAUCAAUACAUUCAAUGGCGGUGUUUGACUGUAACGCAAAGGAGGUCGUACCUUGUGAAUUCCCUUUAUCAAGUAUACAUCAAACUUUACCUCAUUCUAUCAUUCAGCAUUAUCUAGUUUGACCAACCGAUUUUCCGAGAAUAUUAAGUUUCCGUCUGGAAGACUAGUGCUUCCAGAAGUGAGUCAAGUGACAUAAGUACAUACUUCCCUCAACCUAGCUCCUGUACGCUACUUACUGUGUAGUAUAUAUAUUAUAGAUUAAGGAUGAUCAAUUGGUUUCUAUAGGCGAGGAAACAAUAAUGGGAAUGUUGUUUCUAUUCAAAAUAAUAAGAGUACCUUUGAUAUACGUUAUUUUCUGAAAAAUGUGAUAUAUCAUUGGUCGUAUGCAUGUCGUUUCUGUAUAUCCUAAUUGGUCUGAGUCUUGUCCUGUCACGUAUCCCUAGUCUGUAUAUGUGUAAUCUAGGUUGAAAGUCCUACCUUCAGACUGAGAGAACUGAGACUGAUUGGGCUACUAUAACAACCUUUUUAUGGUCAUUGAAGGUUGAAAAUAUGGGCUUAGUAUUUUCUUUGUUAGAGGUGAUGCAAGCAAAAUUAGUUAAUUAAUUCGGAUUCGGCAAAAAUUCAGUACGGGUAUAAUUUGAAUAAAAUUCGUAUCUCAAUUUUUAAAUUCGUUGAAAAAUAUGGCUUGAAAAAUGAGUUCGCCAAUUAUUCGGAUACACCAUUUAUAUGGAAAUUAUACGUUCACCAAUUAAAAUUCGGGAUAAAAAAUUCAGCUAUUAAACUAAGAUUUUUUCUCUAGAUUUAUGCUACUAGCAUACAUUGCUAUAAAUUCUUAAGAAUAUAAAAAUAGAGAGUUAAGAAAUAAAGUAGAUUAAGUAAAAAAAGCAAUAGAAAAGUUUAUUGCCAUCUCCAUCUUCAUCUUUUUCAUGAUCCACAUAUUCCGGAAGUUCAUGAAGUUUUUCAAUAAUUCGUGAAUAAUUCGGGAAUAAUUCGGAAAGUGAUUUUAUCCAAAAAUUUUAUGCGUUUUUUCGACUGAAUAGUUCGGCAUACGCGAAUUAUUCGCGAAUAAUAAAUCUAACCCAAAAAUUUGCGUUUUAUUCUGAUUUUUUGGGAAUAAAUCGCAUACGGACUGUUUUAUUCGGAUUUUCAAUAAUUCGCAAAUAAUUUGCGAAUUAACUAAUUAUGAGCAAAAGUAAUUGCAAUAAUUUUUCUUCAAUUGAUGAAAUUUGCUUUUAAAUGUUGAGUGUUUGUUCUUAGAAUUGGUUUUCCAAUUUGCAUUUAUAGUUGUCGACUCAAUAUAGAAGGUAGUUUUUUAUAUGUCUUUGCAUAUCAUAUAUUCUAUGACAAUUGAAACUAGAACAAGCUAUGUGACAAAAUGAAAGGUAACAUGGUUGUUACUUGUUAGGUUCUCUUUAUGCAUUUAGAGAUCCUUUUGGGCAACUUAGUUGUCUUAUUUGGUAAGAUCCCCGAACUGUAGUUUUUUAUUUCUUGCUAUCCAGUGUGCAUUUUUUGUGAUUUUAGUGUUGCUAAUCAUUGUAGUUAUAAUUUUAACUCUUUUCUCAUUCAUGUUUCCUAUAUUUACUAUUUCUGCUGAAAUCUCAGAGCUGGAGAGAUGAAGAAGAACAUAAUGAAUCUCAUGGCCCUUCAUGGUUUAGAGGACACUAUUGGGUUAGGGGAACAAAUAAAAAUGGCCUUCAUUCAAACAAAGGAAACUAUGGAAAUAAUGGUAAAUUAUUCAUGAUUCAUUUUUACACUUCUCUAUUAUUGACUUAAUAGGAAAAAAGAGAUGGCACCAGUUCAUACGAACUUUUGAAUUUAUUAGACUGUUUUUCUUUUCUUUUACUUUAUUUUCUAGAAAGGUGUGUUAGUCCUAUGUUGUGGACAUUAUUGUGAGAUAGCUAUUCGGUGAUAAUUACAAAUGUAGUUAAAGACUUCAUUUCAAUUUUGUAUUCAUAAUAUUCAUUUGUUAAAUUUGGAACUUGGCAGAUGAAAUUAUAAUUAGGGUCGAAUUUCAGGGACUUAAUCGUUAAAACUGAGACUUUUGAGUCCUAAAUAGAUAUCAAAUUAAACUUAAGGGAAUAAUUGAAACUCUUAAGGACAAAAUUGAAAUCUGGAUCAGACUUUAGGGAUUAAAUUUCUAAUCAACCCUACAAAUUUAUUUUGAGGAUGAAACUCAUGUAUAACUGGCAAAUUAUUCCUGCUUCUUUCUGUAGGAAAAAUAAGACUUGAGUUUUGUUCAAGUGAUGAUGAUGAUGAUAGUGAUGUUGAGACCAUCUUUCGUUCUACGUUUGGAGGCCAGCGAUACUCUUAUUGGUCUUUUGAUAGUUCUGAAAAUUUUGGAUGGAGGAGCUCUUCUAACCGUGCUUAUCACGAAAGCUCCUCUAGGGAUUGGAGAUAUGAAACAGAUGAAGAAACCGAUGCUUCCACUCACUCUGAGUUAGCUUCUGCUCGGCAAGCUCUUGGAAUGAGUGUUUGUGGUCCCCUAAAAUUGGAGGAUGUUAAAAGCGCGUAAGUUCUCUGACCACUAUUGGUACCACAAGGAAGCUGGUGCUACUGCUUGGAUGAACAUUGGAAUUUACUAGCACUCAAGAUUGUUGGAAUGUUGGUGUGCUUUGAAUUUUAAAGCACAUGCCCAAGAAUCUUGAUUGACUUCUGGCUGUUGAAAAGGCAAAAGCACCGGCCUUCCGGUUCUAUCACAGUAUUCAAUCUCAAUUUUUUCUCUUUAUACUCUCACAUGUCCUUUCAAAAGCUGAAUUUUGCGUAUGCUUUUGAAAGUAUUUCUUAUUUUAAUUUGUGGCAUGAACGAAGUUAGUUUUAUUAGAGAAAUUUUUUUUUCACUUAUGCAUAUGUUGUAAGUACAAAAGGUGUGUAUGUGGGAAUUAAGUUUUUGAAAACCAUCUCUCUCUAUCUUUCUCUCUCGUUAUAUAUAUAUAUAUAUAGAAUGAAACUAGAAUACUUUUGAUAGUAAAAACAAAUAAUGUUUACUAUCUGCCUUUUAGCCCUUGGAUGCCUAGGGUUUAGUGGUGGUAGUAGGUGGAAUAGUAUUGAUCCAAGGGCUAGAAAGCAGAUAGUAAACAUUAUUCAUUUUCUUUUAGUACAUUCUAGGUGAACUCUCUCUCUCUCUCUCUCUCUCUCUCUCUCUCUCUCUCUAUAUAUAUAUAUAUAUAUAUAUAUAUAUAAAUUCAGAUUUUGUGGGAUUACAUUUGUUAAUCGAUAUAUUUUAUGGGCCUGUAUAUGUAGAUUUAUCUUGUUAUCCUUAUAAUCGUGAUUCUUCUUGCUUUUUGAUUUUUGCUUAUCAUAUGGUAUGAUUGUGAUUUAAAUGCUUACUUUCAUUAUGGACUGGUGAUAUCUUUUAGUUUGACUUUUUAUUUUACCAGAUAUCGAGCUUGUGCUCUAAAAUGGCAUCCGGAUCGUCACAAUGGUUCAUCAAAGGUGAGCCUGGAUAUAUGUGCUUUCAUUUUUUCCCUCCUAUUUUGACCUAAACAAAAAAUUGUUAGUUCUAAGCUUGGUAGAGGAUGAGGGUUGGCGUUUAAGUUGCAUGGUACAUUUAACUUAUGAAAAUUAUUCCACACGUCAUAUUCAUAAUGAGUUAGUGAUUCCAUAACUAAUACUAUACCUAUACGAGAGUUUUUAGGACCAAGAAAGGCAUUUGAAGAAUGCUUAAUUGUUUGAAGUGAAGUUUCUGGAUUUGUUGAGUUGGUUAUCUGACUUUCUGGUGUCAUGUGACUCAUGCUAUUGGGCCCAUUUUGAUAAUGUUGUGGCUAAAAGCACUAUUUUUAUACUAUGGAAGACCUGAGAAAUCCAAAAGCGCUAUCAAUGUUUCUUUCUCUAAUGCUUUAAAAUUGCGAUUGCAACUGCCACUGGAGAAGCAUGUGGUGCUUCUCUACAUGCUUCUCUGGUGGUAGUUGUGACUGCAAUUUCAUAGUGUAAAUAAAGGGAAGAUUGAAAACACUUUUAAAAUUUUUGGGCCUUUCAUAGUGUAAAAAUGAUGCUUUUAGCCACCAUAUUACCAAAUUAGGCUUAGUAUGAUUUCAUGAAUAAUUAGUAGGAAAAUAGAACGAGAAGUCCACCCUCCACAUAAAGAGAGGUAGCAGAUAUUAUAUGCUCUAUGCAAAGGGCUUCUGAGAAUCGACAUUAAGGAGGCAUAUGGAUAUGUAAGCUUAAACAUUAAAGCAUUAUUACCAGCCUAAUAGAUGAAAGAGGGAGCAGUCUUUUUGAGACCUAUAACUUUAUGAUGCUUUUGAAUUUUUGCUGUAUGUAAAAAAUGAAACUGAUUUAUCUUAUUCAUCAGAAGGCUUACGGUCAAUAUUUAGAGAGUAUUUUCUGUUUUGAAAUUUAUGAUUUAUCUUGACAUAUAUUACUUUGCGUGCAAUAUAAUUUGAACCAAAAAGUUUGUGCUAUUUAGUUCUCAUUCUUUUGAUAUUGGAGCUUGUAGUGCAAUUUAAGUAUUAUUUAUGCAUGGACAGGUGGCAGCUGAGGAGAAAUUCAAGCAUUGCAGUGCAGCUUACAAGACACUAUGUGAUAGGUUAGCUACAAGUUAAGAUAAAAGGUUUUAAAACAUUGAAACCCAUUUCGGAUAUCAUUCUUAUGCAAGGGAGGGAAAUAAUCUGCGAAAUUGGAUAUGAUGGAGAGCGCUGCACCGACAUCUAUUUCCUCGUCAGUUUUUUAUUGUAACAAAGAAUAAGUUAUCCACAAAAUCUUCAAGUAGAGAGGGAUUUCCUCUUGCGGUAAAUUUAGCGUACCAUUUGAAAUGAUGUUUUUAGAUAUUAUUGUUACUUAAAAGCUAGAUUAAAGGCAUAUAAGCUACGUUCCAAUCUGUGUUGAGACUUGGUGCUUUUGUUCAGUCAUUUGUAUCUAGAGCUGCUGGUUUAAGAGUACAUGAUUAAACUUGUCACGGAAAUGUGUUGCAACCGGAUAAUGAAAGAGACUGUAGCAUUCUUAUAUGUGCAGUUUCGCAAAGAGACUCAUAUCUGGUAUAUAGAGAAUUGCAUUUACUGAAUUUCUUGUUUGAAGCUUCGUGAAGUUUUGGUAAAAUAGAAUCAGUCAUGGAAAUUUUGGCUUUAUUGUGUAUCAUGUGUGAUCUAGUUUGUUGUGGAGAUUCUCUAGAAAAGUAGGUACAAGAAUUUGCAAUAUGUUGUUGGGUUUCCUCUACUACAUAAAAUUCUCACUAUACUGAAGCUAGCGAAAAGGGUAAUCUCUUGAUUUUGUUGUUGUUGUUGAAGAAUAAAGCUACUACAUUUAGAGCUUGUUUGGUUCAAUGGUGGAAUUGGAAUGGAUAAUGAAAUGGGAAUGAAUUGGAAUGGUAAUUGGAAUGGCCCACUCCCCCAAGACGUUUGGUUUAUUUGUGGAUUCGGAGUUGGAAUGAGUUAUUCAAAUUUUAUUGUUUGGUUCGUGUAAACUAAAAAAAUUAUAGGAUGCUAUAAUACUAAUUUUACUCUCAAAUAUAAAUUUAUAUUAUUUAAAAUUUAUGAAAAAUAUAAUACUAUUCUCUAAUAAGUUUUUCAAAAAAAAUAUCAAAUUUAUUUUUAAAAACUUUUAUUGAUGUGAGUUAGGGAUAGGGUUUUGAGAGAGGAUAGGUUUUUUUUUUUUUUGAUGAGAAAGGGAUGAAAAGAAGGAGGGUGAAAUGGUCACAUGGGUUUCGAGAACUUAGUGGGCUUUCAGAAUAAAACCUCAAUCCGGACUAGAAGACCAUAAUCAAGUUGAAGCUAAUGGGCCAUUCCCAUUCCAGUCCGGAAUAGGAAUCCCCAACCGAUUCAUGCGAACUAAACAAAAUUAACCGAAUUUGAUCAAAUCGAUUCCCAUUCCAUACCCAAAAUGGAUGAACCAAACAAGCCCUCACAGUGAAACGCCUUUCAUGCGGAAAUCCAAAUGGCACACAAUUGCUUACAGUGAAAAGGUCUGCCAAUCUGUUUGUUUUAUGAUUUUCAGCAUUAGAUUUUUUAGAUUGCACAUCAACCUACUAAUUCAAGCUUCACUUUGGAUCACUCAAAUAAGGCCACAUUUUGAAGUGCCUCAUGAUUUUCUCUUCUAACAGGGAUGAGUUAUUUUACAGCAACAAAAUUCUAGUAACCUACCCUUUAAUCCUUGGACAUAUGGUACUCCUUCAAUAAAUAUAUUUUCAAUUUUUCGUAUCGAUGCGCAAAUGAACAAGUGUGCCCAUGUCACCUCUGGUAACUCUGAUCUUGUUGUCAAUAUACCUGCAGGAAGAUGAAAGCAUCACUAAUAAACUUCUGGCACAAGUUAUUUUCCAUAAUGCAAACAAUUUUGUUUAUGAGACAACACAAUUAAUCAAAAAUAAACGACAUGAUAAGAGCUUUUCGGAGUUGCAUAUCGCAGAUACAACUUAACAAAAAUUGAAUCCAUUUAGGAAUUCAACAUGGAUCAGAUUCAAAUGUGGCUAUUAGUAAUUCCUUUUUGUCGUUCUUUGAAUAUUUUUAUGGCAAUUGGAUAGCUUACACAAUUUCCAUGUCGAAUUUCUUUUCGGCAUUUAAGGGGAGCUUCAGUGCACCAAGCUGAGCCGAUCCUUCAUUCAUUGUUACACUGUAGGUGUUUCUAUCAGAUCCUUUGCUGCAAAUAAAGCAAAAGAUUAAUCCAAUAUAACAAUCCGUAUUUUUACAUGGAUGAACAUCAGAGGCUAAAAUAUGAUGAGUUCAAAACCAAAUUCAAGUUCCAUGAUACCUGUUCUAAAAUCAAAUUAGACAACGUGAUGUGAUUUAUGAGUUAUAUAGAAUUUAACAAAGUGCCUAUUUAAAGCCUUAGGGCCUCUUUGGUCCAGCUAGAGCUUCUGCAAAAGUGUUAUUUCAGUAGAGUUGAUUUAAGAAGCAUUAUAAUUUUUCGUUACAGCCUUCUCAGUAGCAUCUUGUUGUGGCAAAAAGAAAAGCUUUAAAUUGGAAAUUUUGUUUUCCUGCUCAAGUUCUUGUUUUAGCUUCUAAUCAAAGUAAAAGCUCCAACACAUUUUGCUAGGUUCUUUCAUCAAAAGCUACUAGUUGUUGCAGUGAAGAAACUAUUCCAGAAGCCAAGCGAAACAUGAACUUUUUGUCUGCAAACUAAAUUUUCACAAAGCCAGUAGUCUUAUCAACAUAUAUCACACUGCAAUGGUCCUUAGCGCACACACAUAGACCUUUUACUAGAUCCUUGACAUUGGAGUAAAAAGUAUGAAAACAAUUAAAAGAUCAGUGAGGAAAGAAAAUGGAUAAAAAAUAGUUCUUAAAACAGCAUAAACUCACAUCAGAGUGCCACUUGCUCUAACAGUUAGACCCAGAACAGGAAUUACUACAUUCUCUAGCUUCCCAUCUUCCUUUAUUAUCUGCAAGGAAACAUCAGGCUGCAUAAGAAUUGACAUAAACACAUUGAGUAUAUGGAGGCUUAGUUUCCUUUAUUAGAAAGUAUUUUGCUUUUGAAACUUGUUUUGCAACUAACCUGCAAGCCCUUGAGACCAUUGGCAGCAAUCGAUGACCAACUUUCAUCUUCUGACUGAACGCAAAAAUUUUGAAAUGAUAUCAGUAACGAUUACGGUGAAAUAGUUAGAUAGCCUUUUGAUGAGUUACUGGAAUCUGAGUUAAUUGAUAGAUAAAUUGCAUUUAAUUUGAUAUAUCAAUAUGUGGUCCGGCUAAUGCUGGGGAAUUUAGAACUAUUAUCGUCAAACUCAAAUUUAAAUAAAUUCCUUCAAAAGUGAAUGAUCAAUUGUAGGGACACUGAGAACAACAAAACCAAAAUUGAUCCUUUAAAUACUCAAAUUAUCGGCAGUGAGUCUUCUUCUACGUGUAUCUAUACAUCGAUGCAUGAGUGCGUGCAUGCAUUCCAAUAGUCAUUUACAUAUGUUUCUAUAGAUAGAUAAAUAUAUGCAAAGCAUAUGCAAAAAGUUGCUUGGUUGUUCAAAAUUUAACCUGUGAAGCCCACAACAAUUGCCACUCUCCCUCGAGAGUUCCCAAGUGACCUCCUUCAAUCUCCUUUUUAUUUAAAGCAAUGAGUUCAUCUAUAACCUGUUUAGCAUACCAAUUAGAUCAUAACUAUAUGAACCAUAAUUUACCGAACUUAUGCGCGUGUACAAAUUGUUCACGCCGUUAGGUCACACCUCUUCAACUCCUGUCCCAGAAGAUAUGGCUGAUAGUAACCUUUGUCUUGGUUCGGUUUUCUUUUGUAGCACAAAUGUUGUUCCCUGCACUAUAUAUUAUUCAAUAAAGAAGAGAAAUAAAAGUAUGAGUAGCUCACAAAAAAAAUGCAUGAAUAGAUAUUUCAUACAUAGUCCUGCAAAGUUACCUACAUAUGCUCUUGAAUGACUUAAUUCUUGCAUAUAUAUAUAUAUAUAUAUAUAUAUGUAUGCGUGCAUUUACCAAAUAGUUAAACAGUUGGAUCACUCCCGAACAUACGGGUGUGUGUGUAAAAAUUGAACUUCUGACAGGCGUAUACAUAGGGCCAAAUUCUAAAAGAUGAUUUUGCUGGGAUACAUGCAUGUAAAAGUUCCAAGUAAAAAUAACAAAGUUGAAUAGGUGUUUUGUGCUAAAGAGAUAGAUGUAAGUACAUGAGGAUGUAUGAAGAUUAAAACAAUUGGACAAAUAUGAUAAAAGUAUUACCUUAUUCCCUCUUGAAAUUCGCAUGUUUCCGGUAUGAGAUAAGUAAGUCGUGUCCAGCCACCCCUUUGCUUCAUCUCCGAGAAGCCUAAAGGGCACCGGAUACGGAACCUUGAAAGGCAAAAAUUUGAAGGAGAAUGCUGCACGGUCGAAUCGGAAUAGGAUGCGCUUCCCAUCUUCUACUGUUGCUGCUGCCUUGGCGUAAAUUCGAAAAAAAAAAUCAUUUUAAGUCGCAAGAAAUCUAAGGGGAAACAGAAGCCAAAUUGAAGUUAGCAUAUCACUCGUGUGUCUUCGUGUUGUCUAGGAUGGGAUAAUACACAUUAGUAGCUUUAUCACUUUGUUGAACAAAUAAUAAUCGUCAGAGAAACAAAUGCCGACGCUGAACCUCAUUUAUAAAGAAUCAUGUAGUCUUUUUAGUAUCAAAAAUACUGAGCAACACUGUUCAUCUUUCAUGCAAAGGGUAAAGCUUAUGCGAAUUAUCUUAGACCAGUUUGCAAGAAAAAGUACUCAUCAUGUGAAAUCCAAAAUCUAUGAAUGAAGUCUUAAUUAGAUUAGCUACAUAUAUAAAGGAAGAGCAACUGAAGGAACAUAUGGAAUUCACGAAGAUGAGUAUAUGUAACUACACAUUCAGAAGAAACUUGGUAUAACAGUUCGUAGUAAAUGCUUCUGGUUUCUUUUUUUUUUUAGCCCCUUUUGAUGCAAAAUAACUACCUCUACUUUAAGUUCGCCAAUUGCAUCUGAGAACAUGACGAUGUUGGACACCCUUGGAUCAUCUGUUCUAAGGUAGACCUCCUGAAAGAUCUUGAAAAAAUCAACUCCAACGAAUGUCCUCUGCAAAAUAUACGAAAUGUGAAGUGAAAGAAAUCAUAGUUUCAAAUAGUGAAAGAAAGGGAAAAUAGAGAAUAAAUAAGGUUUAAAUGAAGGUAUAUUAUCGCACAAGUUCACUCUGAUAGAUUUACCAAAAGGUAGGGUAAUAACUUCAGAUAAAAAUCACGCAGAACUUCAUGCUUCGGAACUAAAUAUUUCCCUGAAAAGUGGCAGGGAUUUUAUCUUUACGGAGGGCAAAUUCGAAACUUUCAAUGAUGAAAGUCUUUUGAUCAAUCAAUCAAUCAUAUUUUGGGAACCACUGACAAGAAUAAGUGAAGAAAACUUGUCUAAUCAGAAAUUUUGCUUCAUUGCGAUGGUCGAGCACAGUGGUUAAUUGAACAGUGUCAUAUGUUUAUUGCAAAGCAUGCAUGCUUUAUAAUGUUUCCUUACCUGAAUUGGAGAUGCAGUUCCAGGUCUUGUAGUGAAAAUGAGCUGCCAGCAACCCUCAAUCAAGCUGGAACUUGUCUGCACAAAAAAGAUUCAUAGAUAUCUUUUAACUGCAAAUUCUGUAACUAGGACUAUGACAGUAUGAGUGUAUCAAUAAAACAUCUACUAAUGCAUGCAAAGAAGCAUAUGAGUGAAUCUGUUCUAAGUCAAAAGUACUAAACUAUUGAAAAAAGUUACUUGAAUCGAAAAUUCCCAGAAAAGAUAUGAAUUGAAGAACAACACUAGUCCUUGGUAGAUCAAAAUGACUAAUCAGCUUUAUAUCAUUUAGAUCAUUGCCCAUAAUUUUAGUACCCUUUUAAAUGUAGAAAUGAUGAUAAAAAUGAAGGCUCAUUAAUUUACCCUAAGUUAUAAUAAGAUUAAUAAUGUAUAUGGAACUCACUGGAUCAGGCACACCUUUCAGAGUUUCUAGGGUUUGCACAGCACGCUCGACCUCCUGUAAAAAUGUACACAGCGUUAGAUCCGAACUGUUACUCAAAAGUUGGUCUGAUAAAGAAAAUGACUCAGAAAUAGUCUUUUAUCAUUGAGCACUGAAUUUGAUAAAGCUAUUACGUAAUAACGGAAAUCGUGAAACCUGGGCCUACUCUAUGGACCGACGCAGAGAAAAAAACAGCCUCUCUGUAAAUGGAGAAAUUUGGCGCAAUUCCCCCGAACUUCUAAAUUAGACAUCCGAACGACAUUCGGGUGAGUUCUACAGUUAGAGGGAAAAAAUUGUUGUGUGCACUCAAUGCAUCCGUGCAACUACGAAGCACAAAAUUCCCCGAUCCUCACCUGUUUUAUUUUGUAUUUGUAAAGCCUUAAUAGUCUCAUAUCGAAUGAAAAAAUGAUUCUGAUUAUAUUAUAAGAAAUCUCGCACUCUAGUAAUAAUAACUGAACCUUGGAUUAUUAUUAUUAUUAUUAUUAUUAUUAUUAGCGGGUUGGAUCGUUAUAUUUUCAAUCCAACCAUCUGAUUUCGAUCCCCGGAAUAUAAAGAGGAGAGAGUGCCUGGAGCUGCUGCGGAGAGGCGGCGCGGCCUCGGCCUUGGAUUCCGAGAAGGGCCUCGAUGAGUGCGGCCUCGGGAUCGGUGAAGGAGAUCUCCUCCUGCUGCUGCUGCUGCUGCUGCUGCGCUCGCUCAGUGAGCGAGGAUGAGAUCGGGCCGAUCGAUCGGCAGAGAGGAGGCGGCGGCGGCGGCGGCUUCUUCCGGCCCAAUCUCCAGAAGAGGCGGCCGCGCGGGGCAGAAGGCAUAGGGGUUGAGAGGCAGCAGGCGGCGGCGGCGGCCGACGGCAGCGGCGGAAGCAGGGGAGGAGGAGGGUGAUGAAGGCGGAGGGAGAGAUUCGCGGCUCUGCCUGCGGCUGCCAUGAGGAGGACGACGAUGAAGGAGGAGGAGCCGGCGGAGUUUGCCUCUUCUUGUGUAACAAAGCGCGCGAAACGCUUGGAUUGGCUGAGAAACUGACACGUGGACGCAGAAUCUGAAGGCCGUUAUCUUUUGCCCGAAGAAAUUAAAAAGUUGCUCUUUUCCAACACAAAAAAAAAGUAAAAAAAAAAAAAAAAAAAAAAAACACACACACACACACGCACACAACAAGCUUUAGAUGAACAAUAGUAACACUCUUUUAGUCAACAGUAUAGAUAAUUACGGACUGUUUCUUACGUAAGCAACAAAGGGCUUAGUUGCUGGAGUAGGACUACUGUGCUAUAAGGAGUACAACAGUCCUUAUACUUUUAACUUUUUAAUUAUCUAUUAAGUUUGAUCGGUGGUUAGAAUGAGAGAGUGAGAAGAUAUUGAAGAGAAAUUCAAGAAAAAGAAAAAUUGAAACACUCAAUUUCUCUCCAAUACCUCCUUCCUCUCUCAUUCUAACCACCCAUUAAAUUUGAUGGGUGGUUAGAAAAUUAGGAGCACAAGGACUGCUGUGUUUCUAAUAGCACAAUAGCCCUGCUCUAGUUAUUGAUACCUAAGAUUUUCAAGUUCGAAAUAUUCUACUAUAUUUUCAAUAAAGUUUUUUUAAAUAAAAUAAACGAAGCGGGAAGCUUGCUAUCUAUCUCUUAAAAAAUAGUGUAGAUAAGUUUUUUUAAAAAUUUUUAGCAUUAAAAAGAGAUAUAUAUAUAUAUAUAUAUAUAGAGAGAGAGAGAGAGAGAGAGAGAGAGAGAGAGAGAGAGAGAGAGUGAGGCUACUAUGUUAUCGGAAGUAUGGAGCCUUCCGUACUUCCAGCUCGUUUUCGAUGUUGCGACUUUCGAAUCGUCGAUCGGCUCCGUUAAACUUGAUCUAGAGUAUUUGGAGUACCUAGAAAAUAAAUUUUAUUAUUUUUCGAUAUCAUUUGCCUAGUGAUCGAAUGGGCUCAAAAUCAACAAAUUUCAAUGGCCGUAGUGAGCCGUUUGCAAGUUUAACGGUGUAGAAAUAUCCAAAUCACGUGAAAUUUUGAUAGAAAAUUCUUUAUACUAUAUAAAACAAGAUCAAUAUCUUUGAUUUAAAAUUUUAAUGUCAUAUUAUUACAUUUUGUAAGAUUUUUAUUUUCAGCCGUUGAUUUUGAGCCCCUUCGUUCACUAGGCAAAUGAUAUCGUAAAAUCAUAAAAUUUAUUUUCUAGGUACUUCAAAUACUCUAGAUCAAGUUUAACGGAGCCGAUCGACGAUUCGAAAGUCGCAACAUCGAAAACGAGCUGGAAGCACGGAAGGCUCCGUGCUUCCGAUAGCAUAGUAGCCUCACUCUAUAUAUAUAUAUAUAUAUAUAUAUAUAUAUAUAUAUAUAUACAUAUAUAUAUAUAUAUAUAUAUAUAUACAUACAUAUAUAUAUAUAUAUACAUAUAUAUAUAUAUAUAUAUAUAUAUAUAUAUAUAUAUAGAGUAUAUAUUGUACAAUAUAUAAUUAAAUAGUGCAAAAUUAAAAAAAUAUUAUAGACUAUAUAUUAUAUUAUUUGACACAUGUUGUACUAUUUUUAUAAUCUGUUGCACCAAUCAAAUUACACCACAUAUAGUCAAAUAAUAUAAUAUUUUUAUUUUUUUUAAUAAAAAAAUUAAAAAAUAGAAAAAUACAAGGAGGAGGAGGAUUUUGACAUUCUUUUCCUUUCCCUUCUCCUCCUCCAGUUUUUGGCACCCUGCCGCGUCGAACUGCGUUGCUACUCACGCCCUUACAUACCUUAGCUAUCCGAGCCACGUUUGAGUCCUCGCCGUCAUCGUCGGUGGCAGCGGAGAUGUGGUCGAAGUAUGGGGAGUGUAUGAGUGGUCGAGGAGGAGGAGGAGGAGGAGGAGGAGGAGGGAGAAGAAGCGGGAGGAGCAAAAAAGAAAAUGAAGACAGAAUAUGACUAUUUUAGUCAUUUUUUAAAAAAAAUUCGAUCUAUAUUGUAAAAUCGAAAAAUAUGGCACAGAAACACAAAGCCGUUAAACUCUGUAAAUGAAAAAACCUUGAAACAAAAAAACUUUUUAACUGACUGUCCUUAGAGCAAGUGGUAAAAGACUUGAUGGUUGGUAUUCGAGAUUCCAAGUUCGAAUCCUAAUUGAUUCACAUUUCUAGCUAAGUUUAUUUUUAAAUGAAAUAAACGAAACGGGUAGCGUGCUACCUGUCUCUCAAAAAAAAAAAAAAAAAGUUUGUUUUAAAAAAGAAAAUUAAAUUUUUAUAGGAGUUUUAUUAAUUUGAUAUGACUUGGUUUAGUAAAUCUAGUUUCACCUACGAAAGAUAAAGACGUUUUAUUUUUUUUAAUUUUUUAUUUAGUUACUACAAUCCUAGAAUCAUAAUUUAUUUAUAAAAAAUUAAAACUAAAAAUAGUGAGCAAUUAUUUUACUUGUACAAUAUCAUAAUAAGUUAUAAUAUUAUAAUAAGUUAUAACAGUACAAGAAUUAUUUUUUAAAAAAAUUAUGUGGAUAGUUUGGUGACGAUGCGGACGUUGAAAGUUUGGUCUUACGUCACUUCAAAUAUGACUUGGCCCAAUCCGACCUCACGUCAUUUCGAACGUGAUUCGACCCACUUGGUCUCCCUCCACAGGGUAGGAUGUUCGCCCAUUUAAGCCACCAUUUAAAUAAACAAUUUCCUCCUCGGUAUCUGCAUAUACUUGCAGCAUGCGGAAAUCGAACCCGCUAACCAUUAAUCCCAAAAGCUCAGUCGUUAGAAAUACACAACCAAUUCACUUAAAGUGUAUAGAUACAACGCCCGCGGAUUUCGAUUGUGACUCGGUCUAUUCAGCCUUAUGCUCGAACAUGACUCGGUCCAACUCACUCUCACGCAAUUUUGAACAUGACUCGGCCCACUUGGCCUCCCGCCACAUGGCAUAAUGUUGGCCCAUUUAAGCCAACGGCGUUAAAUUUAAAGUAUUAAAUUUGAUACUAAAUUUUAUUAUUAAAUUUUAUAAAAUUAAAAUAAUAAUUAGAUUGGAUAAAAUUUUUAACUAAGCUAAACAAAAGUUAAGAAGUCUAAACAAGUAAGGAGCUGAUUUCAAAAUGAAUUCAAAUAAAAAAAAAAAAAAGAUAAGGAGCCUAAAUUAUUAAGGAGCUGAUUUCAAAAUGACUAAUCGAUGAGGAGGAUGUCCAUGCAUUUCAAGCUAGCAAACUUUUUAGCUUUUGCUUGGUGGCUAGAUGGGUGCCGCUUUGCCACGCAGCGCCGAUUUGCAUUGUCCCCAUACUAUUUAGUUUGGAGAUGAUGUCUAUAUAAUUUUUAUCCUGUAGGUCAACCCCACAAUCGGGGCAGGACUACAGGAGAAGGCGGCGGCAGUAAUGCCUCUAAGUUUUAGAAAGAAAGAAAUUUUUUCAUAUUUCUAAUUUGAUAGGUCGCGUAGUGGUUGUUAUCUCAGUUGCUGACUAAGAGAUCAUAUGUUUAAUCUCCUAUUAGAGUCUUUAUUAUCGGACAUGUGAUUAUAUUUAGAGCAGUUUUUUAGGUGCGCCGACAAGUUAAAAAGUAUCCAUUUAGGUGGAUAAUAAUUUGAGGAAAAAAGAAUUAGGUGGAUUGUAGGACUCUUUACCACCGCAUAUACUUACAAACAAAUUUUACAAUACUUUACAAAUAGCAUACGUGGCGGUAUUUAAUUGGUGUAGAAGUGUAAAUCAGGAUAAGAUCUGCAUAAUUUAUAAUUUCAAGAUUGAAAUCCAAACAUUAAGUUGUAGAAUCUGUAAAAUACCACAAGAUAAGUAUUGUAAAAUUUGUUUGUAAGUAUAUGCUCACAUAUUUCUGUGAGGGGCCGCGGAAAAAAAUGUUCGAUCUUUGUCUUACAACAAUAUGCUGGGAACUGUGGAAGAAAAGAAACAGUCGUAUUUUCAACGGACACCUCACUCGAAGUGACGAAACUGGAAGGAGAGNAUGAUAGAACUUCCAAAUUGACGAUCGGCUCCGUUGAACAUGAUCUAUACCACUUGCAGUGUUUAGAAAUCAAAUUUCAAAUCUUUUCGACAUCAUUUGCCUAAUGAUCAAAAGGUUUCAAAAUUUGUAAUUUUAAUGGUCGAUAAGAGGCGUUUUCUCGUUUAAUGGCGUAAAGAUAUCCAAAUCAAUUGAAUUUUUGUUAAAAAAUUCUUUAAACUAUUUAAAACAAGAUCUAUACUCUUGAUCUUGAUUACAAGACUCCUAUUAUCAUUUUUUAAAGAGUAUUCAUUUUCAGCUAUUCAUUUUUUUGUUUACUUGAUGGAUAAAAGAAAAUAUCGAAAGUGCGUGAAAUUUGAUUUUUAGGUAGUUUAAAUGGUUUAGAUCAUAUUUAACGGAGCUGAUCGUCAAUUUUGAAGCUCUAUCAACGAAAACAAAUCGGUAGUAAAACGGCUUGUUUACUACCGGUAGUAUUCUAGCUCAACUCUAUACAUAUAUAUAGAGUAGGGCUGCUGUGCUCUCAGGAGCACGGAAGCCUCUGUGCUCCUGAGCCGUUUUCGAUGAUGGAAUUUUCGAAUCGACUGUUGGCUCCGUUAAACUUGAUCUAGCGCAUUUGAAGUUUCUAGAAAAUAAUUUUUGCGAUUUUUUGAUAUCAUUUACCUAGUGAUCGAAAGGAUUCAAAAUUCAUAAUUUUUAAUGGUUGAUAUCUGCCGUUUUCAAGUUUAACGGUGUAGAAGUAUUCAAAUCAGAUGAAAUUUUGAUACAAAAUUCUUUAUACUAUCUACAACAAGAUCAAUAUGUCUGAUCAAAAAUUUUAGUGCUAUAUCACCACUUUUUAUAGAAUUUUUAUUUUCAGCCGUUAAAAACUAUUGAUUUUGAAUCAUUUCGAUUGCUAGGUAAAUGAUAUCGAAAAAUCGCAAAAAUUAUUUUCUAGAAACUUCAAAUACGCUAGAUUAAGUUUAACGGAGCCGAUCGUCGAUUCGGAAACUCUAUCAUAAAAAACGGAUCAAGAGCAUGGAGGCCUCCGUGCUCCUGAGAGCACAAUAGCUCUGCUAUAUAUAUAUAUAUAGGCUGGGAUUGGUUUCACUUAAAAAAAGAGAAACAAAAACAAAACAAAACGUUAGAUCGUUUUGAAUCAAAUAGGCCGAAAUUUAAGUCAUCUUUUGGAAUGACAUAAUAUUAGAAUAAGAUUUUAUUUAUUUAUUUAUUUUAUUGAACAUUUUAGCCCCAAGUGGUAAAGAACAUGAUAAUUAAUAUCCGGUAAAUAUACUUCACAUUUUCAGCUAAAUUUGUUUAUGAACAAAUUAAAUGACCCUAUGAUGUAGGGGUGAAAACGAAUCGGAUAUGGUCGGAUAUUUGACAAAACUAUAUCUACAUCCAUUUUUUCUUUUCGGAUACAAAUUCGAAUAUGGAUAUACAUCGGAUACCAAAUUUUUGUUGCCAUAUCGCUAAAAUGGAUUAAGAUAUGAUCGAAUAUUUUUUCGGAUUCGAAUAUGAAUUGAAUAUAUAUUCAGAUAAUAAUAAUAUACAUUAAUAUGCACAUAUCUAUCUAUUACUAUAUACUAAAGUAGAAUCCUUUAUGAACCCUAUGUGAGAAGCUGACACGUGGCUUUCUAUAUGCUUGUCACGUGUCAAGCUCAAAUAUAGAUUUUUUACUUUAGGAAAAAUAAAAUAUACUAAAGUAGAAUCCUUUAUGAACCCUAUGUGAGAAGCUGACACGUGGCUUUCUAUAUGCUUGCCACGUGUCAAGCUCAAAUAUAGAUUUUCUACUUUAAGAAAAAUAAAAUUUGAUUUUUUAAAGAAAUAAUAUUUUUUACUAUAUUAUUAAAAAUCACCUAUAAUGAAGGGGAUUUUAUUUCAAAGUCACAUAUAAUUAUGUUGAGAUAUUUGAGAAAUUCACGGAUAUUACGUUGCGAAAGAAUUGGCGGGUGCGGAUAUUACGCGUGAGAAAGAAAAUAUUUAUCUUUAUUUUUAUUUCAAAGUCACUUAUAAUUACAUUGAGAUAUUUGAGAAAUUUACGGAUAUUAUGUUGCGAAGGUUGCGGAUAUUAUGUGUGAGAAGGAAAAUAUUUAUUUUUAUUUGGGAAUAAAUUAUUGCAAGCUCAAAUAUGAAUUUUCUACUUUAGAAAAAAUAAAAUUAGAUUUUUUAAGAAAAUAAUAUCUAAUUCAUGGAUAUUACAUUGCGAAAGAAUUGACGGGUGCAGAUAUUACGCAUGAGAAGAAAAAUAUUUAUCUUUAUUUGGGAAUAAAUUAUAACUUAGUUAAUUAUUUGAAAUGAUUAGUUGAAAAUUACUAGACAUAAAAAUAUUAGUAAAAAAGGAUACAUGUAUUUUUGGAAAGAGAAAAAAAUUCAAAACUCACGUAGUACAGAUAUAGAUAUUGCAUGUCACUUCCCUACUAUCACUCCUUCUGUAAUUUUUAUUUCGUAAUUUUUUUCCCUACUGUCAUUCCUGUAAUUUUCUUAGUUCUUAAAUGUUGAUGCUUUAAAAUAGAACAUAUUAUUUUCAUUUUAUUAUUUAAAUACGAAGCAAAUAUUAAUUUUUUUUCUUGGAUGUCUUAUUGUUCUCAGGAUAUGGCACUUGGGUAUGAUUCUAUACGUGACAUCACUCUUCUUAGAGACAAAUGGAAAAUCAAAGUCAAAGUGAUUUGUCUGUAUACUAUGCCUGAAUUUAAUCGUCCAGAGGUGGUGAAUAGCCUAGAGUUAGUUCUUUCUAAUCAAAAUAUAAGAUACGGCUUUCAUUUUCAAAUUGAACAUACGUUUGUUUUGCUUUUACUAAAAGAUACUACACAAUUUGUUUAUUUUCUAUUAUAGGGUGAUAGAAUACAUGCAACGGUAAGAAAAGCUUUACUAAACAAAUUUAAAUGUCUUUUCACGGAAGAAAAAGUUUAUGUGAUCAACCAGUUUGGAGUGGGGCAGAGCAGCGGCUCCUAUAGGACCACUAUACAUUCUUACAAAAUCAAUUUUCAAUAUUCUACGGUUGUACGUGAGAUGGAAGAUGUUUUGACAAUAUCAAAGUAUGGAUUUAUAUUUAUCUCUUUUGAUGAAAUACUUGCUAAUGUCGCUGAUGACAAAUAUUUAGUAGGUAAGAGUUGUUACAUGCAUCAAAUAUUUAAUUUUUAAAAUUCAAUUUUUAAUAUGUGUACCUACUAUAUUGAUUCUUACAUUUUAUUUUUCUAAUUUAUCAGAUGUCAUUGGGAAGCUUUCUAGAAUUAGUAUAAUGGAAGAAAGCUGCAAGGACGGUAAAGAAACAAAAAAGAUUACGAUACUACUUAAGGAUGACAAGUAGGUGCUCAUAAUUAUAAAUAUAUCUUUUGAAUAUUUAUAUUUUUUUUUUCAGUUAGCUGCUUAUUAUUAUAAAUAGAUAACUAGAUUGACAGUUAUAUCCAAAACAAAUUAUAUUAUAUUUAUCAAUCUGAUAACUUUAUAUUACGACACUCAUGUCUACAUCUUAAAUAACGGUACUUUACGUUCUUUGAGUUUUCUUGCUAAUAUAAAUAUAAAUAUAAAAAUUAUCUAUAAGUAGCAUUUGUAGUAUAAUGAUCAUUUUAAUUUGUAUUUUGGUCAUUUAGUAAUUUUUUCUGUAAAACUUAUAGUAACAAGAAGCUGGGUUGCACAUUGUGGAGAAGGUUUGCUGAAGAACUUCAUACUUAUAGACAAGUAGGGGAUGAAGCCUCUGUCAUAAUUAUAAUGCAAUGGUGCAAGAUAAAAGACUUUGCAGGUAUCUCAUUUAUUCAAACUUUGGAUAUUAUUUAUAUUCUUACUAAUUAUACUAAUUAUUGAAUAUCUAUGAGCAACAUAGGUUCACGUAAUAUAUCAUUCACGUAAUAUAUCAAACUCUCUUUAUGCAACCAAGAUGAUGAUCAACACUAAUAUAUCAGAAAUAUUGGAGUUCAAAAAUAAAUAAGUUAACCAAUAACCUUAUUAUUUUUUUAUAUAUAUAUUGUUCACUUACAUUAAAAUAUAAAAUUUAGGAUUGUAAGCGGAGAAGUAAGUCAAUCUAUGGUGCUUAGUGAAAUUUCAACUCAAUCCACUAUUUCUCUAACGAAUGACUUCCUAAAAGUAUUUCAAAAGAAAACUCUGGCUGAAAUUCAAGAAUGCCAACAGGAAAAUAAGUGUAAAUAUCUUAUCCAUAUUUAUCGUUUUAAUACAUUUUGUUCUCUUAUUCUUAAUACUGAAUAUAUAUCAUUUUUUCAGCCUUGUGUAUGUGUCACUCUAGCAACUGUUCUAAGUGUUGAGACUUAGCGUGGCUGGUACUACAAUUCUUACAAAAGGUGAUUCCUGAUGAAACUGGAUUCUAUUGUGAAUUUUGUGAGAGAAUGGUAACUUGUGUUGGACUAAGGUGAGAAUUUUUACUUCUGCACUUGAUGUAUAUGAUUUAAUGUGAUAUUUUUUUAACAACAACCUACAAUAUGCAUGCUAUGACAAUAAACAAGAGUCAAGGUUAAUCGUUAUUACAUGUUGGCUUAUAUCUACCUAGACCGAUAUUCAGUCAUGGUCAGUUAUAUGUUGCAAUAUCUAGAGUUCGAAGCAACGUCAGAUUGAAUAUUCUAAUUUGUGAUAAAGAUGAUUUGUUAUCUAAAACUACAAGCAAUGUGGUUUUUAAAGAAGUGUUUCAGAAUUUAAAAUAGGUGGACGGUUUAUUUUUCUUCAUAUUAUUUUAAAAUUUAUAAUUUUUCAACCAUUCAACUCGGUCAUUUUAUUUUUUUACAUAAAUUUAGAUAUUUUUCUGAAAAAAUUCACUAAUAUUAUGAUAUUUAUUAUUUUACUUAUCUAACAAUUUAUCUAUAUUAUUAUUGGAGUAGAUACUUUCUAUUUUCAUGUAACAAAGUUUUUUUUCUUUAUAUUUUCUUGAAGACAAACAUCUAUAUAUUUUUGAAUCUUAAAAGUUUGUAUUUCUCUCAUAUACGUGUCCUUACUCUAAUUUGUGUCAAAUAUGAAAGUUUAGUUGAUCUCAUUAUAUGCUUAAAUAUUAAUGUCAUUUGUAAUUUUUCACAUCAAUUUUAGUUAUCAUUUUGUUUUGCACAUCAAUAUGUAAAUGUAAAUUGUUUUGCACACCAAUUCAUAGAUAAUAGAGCAUGGUUGAAUUUUGCUUUUUACUUGAGUAUUUACUUUGCUCCAUAAUUUUUUUUCUCUACCUUUUGUACUUUAAUAUAUACUAUAAUUAAGAUUGAUAGUAUAUUUCUUUAUUUGUUAAAAAAAUAUAAUAUUAAUUAGAAUAUUUUUUUUUAUCAUCACAUACUAACUUUUGUUAUUUUAUAUUAUUAUUUUAUCCGUGCAUCGCACGGGUCAAAUACUAGUACAAUAAAUGAGAAAUACAAAAAAUUACUUUAUUUUCCUACCUUGUUUCCUCACUUUAUAUCUUCACAUAUAAAACAUAUAACAAUUCUAAUAUAUAAUUUAUUAUAAAAUAAACUAAUAACACAAAAAAUUACCUUAUUUUCUCACAACAUGUAUUAAUUGUCCCUCUUAUAUCUACACAAAAAGCAAUUAAACUUUCCUCAUCGUCCUCUUCGCAGAUGGUGGACCUCAAUGAGUAGGGUGAGAGAGCAGAUGCCAGAGAGAGAAAGAGAGAUAAAGUUUUGAGAUUAGGUUUCGUUCAUUGAAACCGACCGUCCCUAGAGCAAGUGGCAAAGGAUUUGGUGGUUGGUAUCCGAGACCCAAGUUCGAAUCCUAGUUGAUUCACAUUUCUAGCUAAGUUUAUUUCUAAAUGAAAUAAAACGAAGCGGGUAGCGUGCUACCUAUCUGGCUAUCUCUCUCUCUCUCAAAAAAAAAAAGGUUUCGUUCGUUGAAGAGAAAUCGAGCGAUCGAUUCUAGAGGAAAGGAAUUUAGGCGGGCUAAGUGAGCAAAAUUGGAGCGGGCGGAUCCAAAAAUAUAAAAAAUAUAAAAAUAAUAGUACGAAAAGUCCGAAUAUCCAGAUCUAUAUCCAUUUUUUUUCGGAUAUUCAAAAAAAAUUAACUCUCUAAAACCAUAUCUAUAUUGUAUCUAUAUCCGACUGGAUCUGAGUAUUUUCUAUCUAGAUCCAGAUAUUAUCGAAUAUGGAUACAGAUAUUUUUGGAUAAUAUCCGAUCCGGUUUAACCCCUAGUAUGGUGUGUGAAUCUUAAGCGCUAAAUUUAUUUCUAAACAAAUUAAACGACAGAAUGGUGUGAAUUUAUUUCUGAACAAAUUAAAUGACGGUAUGGUAGUGUCUGAAUCGUAAGCGCUAAAUUUAUUUCUAAACAAAUUAAAGGAUAGUAUGAUGUGUGGAUCGUAAGUGCUAACCAACUAUCAAAUUAAAGGUAGUAGGGUGCCUAGAUCGUAAGCACUCGUCACAUCUAAGGGCCCAAAGACAGUCACUUACGAACUUCCACGUGACUCCAUCUAUCUAACCGUUAGGCCUAUUAUUUGGCCUCUUGUCAUUAAGUUUAUUAUGAAUCGCAACUCCACUAAACUUAUUGGGCUCAUUUAACUCAAUUCCUUAGUUUUCUAGACCUAAUAUCAUGGAGUGAAAAUUAAAGCUAUUUUAGCUAACAAUAAAUAGUCAACAUAUGAAAACUCCCUCACUUGGUGCUCACAGUGCGUACAUUUCCAACAAUUUUGAGACAAGCCAUAGGCAUAAUUUAACCGAUAAAAUAUUAUCAUUUGCUGGAAAUAAUAAUAAUCCAAAUUUAAUUAAAAUAUAGUUAGAGAUAAAUUUAAGUCUUUUAUUUAAUUAUAAUUAUAAUUUAUAAUUAUCUAAAGUAAAAAUUAAAUUUAUCAUCUGUUAUGGCUUGACAGCUAUAUAUAGUUAGACAUGAAUUAAAAAGAGAAAGAAGCUACAGUAAACAUAGUUGCGUGGAUGUUACAUAGAAUAUCGUGCGUUAUAUAAUCAGUAUCAGUACAAAUACCAAUUUCUAUAAUUUGUAUCAGAGCAAAUCACGUUUUCAACAUCAUUUAAGCUUAAUCUGCUCAGUAAUGGACCCAUUCUGACCCGUUGCCAUCCCAAACUUUUUUUUUUCUUGAGAAUCGUGUUCAAGAUCUUUAAUUACCACAAUCUAAUCCUCUUAGAUUGCGUCUAAUUAAUUCAAAGUCCAAAUCAAGUACAAAUUAAAUAAGGUGGUUGAUUACUUUUGCUAACGUAGCUUUAAUAGAAGGAUGAGAAGGCAAAAGAACCUUUUAUUUGUGACAGUUCAUAACGCAUUAAAUAUUCUCGAAUCAACUUAUUAUAUGCCAUUUAAGAUAGUGAAGUGUCAAAUAAAAAAAAUAAAAGAGUGCUUCCAUAUUAAAAUAAUAAAUUAUAAAAAUAUUUAAUUGUAUGUUAUUACUUUAAUAUUAAUUUUGUACCUAAAUUCGCGUGACGUUACCAUAAAGAUAAAUGAGAGGGAGAGAGAUAAAAGGUUAUUUUACUCUUUACAAAAUUGUGUUUAAUUUUUUUUACUCAUAAUUAUCCAUAUUUUUAUAUUUGUAGAUAAUUUUUUUUUGAAAAAAUAAAAUAUGAUCACUAAAAUUUUAUAAAAAAUUUAUUUGUUUAUUUGCUAUUUUUACGAUUCGCAAUUAUCCACACAAUAUCUCAUGUAGAACAACUGCAAAAAGUAGUUCAAAGUCAAAUUAGCCGCGACACGUGGCAAAAUCAGAACCGCGAGAAACGUCGGCACGUCACCUAAGUUGUCUCUUCUCAGAUUAGAUCUCCACCGUCCAACUUUAGUUGGCAAUACCCCGUGUGGGUCCCGCAAUGCUGUUCAAUGAGGAUUGACCACGUCGGUCCCAUCGAUCUCAUUGGUCACGCAAAUCAAAUAUUUUUGGUUAUAAUACGAAAAUAAAUUAUACAUUUUAAAUAUUUCAUUGUGCAUACGAAAUACUUUUGGUACUGCAAAUAUAUUAAGACUUCGUUUGGAAUUGCGGAAAGAUUACGUUACGUACGGUGAGAAAGUACGUUGGAAAAAUAUCAUGUUUGUUUCUGUACAUAAUAUUGCGUACGUUGAAAAAAUAUCCUGUUUGUUUCUGUACCUAAUAUUGCGUUCCGCAUGAGUCGGUUACAAUAUAUUUUUUACGGUCCCACCGGAGAACGCAGAAGCAUAUCCCUACAUUGUUUUUCCUCAACUCCAUUCUAUCUAAUAGCGUUAGAUAGGCCUCAAUACCAAACUAAGCCUAAGAAUAAUAUAUAAGGAUAAUAUUUAAGAAUUAAAUAGCUCAAAACGGUCUUCUUAAAUCAGAUUCUUUGUUCUAUAAAAACAGCUAUAAGAUAUUCGGCAUAGAAAACUUUAAGAGUGUGUUUGGUUCGCGCUAUCUUUUUAAGAUUCCUAGUAAUCCAAUAUAAAUAAAAAAAAUGACAGUGUUUGACUAAACACAAUAAGUAAUAUAUUUGGUAAUACUAGAUUUAUCUAGAAAUGAGAUGCAUCCCAAAGUACUAAUCUCAUUCCUUUGAGGGAGGGUGGGUAUUCUUAUGUUAAUAGAUUGGAGUAAUUAUAAUAUGUCUAAUUUUUUUUUUCCAUCCCACCCGCCGGCUAGUUGGUAUUAUUUUUUUUUACACUCUAACCUCAUAUCUCUCUCUAAACUUAUCUUUUUUCUCUCUAAACUUCAACUUUUUUUUUCUCUCUCUAAAUUAAGUUAUUUUUUCCCCACUUUUUCUAAAAUCUCAAACUUCUUAUUCUCUCUAACCUCAACUCUAUUUCUCUUUUUAUUUCUUUAAUUAUGCUCUCUCUUUCUAACCUAUAUUUUCUCUCUCUUUUUUCUAAAAACGAUGUUGAAAUUUUUAUAGUAUUAUUUAAAAUUAAAUUAAUUAAUUAAUUAAUUGUAUAUUUUUUUGUAAUCUUAAAUAACAUAACUAAAUAAUAUGACCAUAUGAACCAAACACCGAAAUACUAUAUUCUUAAUAAUAGGAUGAAUAGGAAUAAAAUUAUCGAAUAUCUUUUUACUCCUAGUAAUCUUUCAUAGUGCAAACCAAACGCGUCCUAAAACUAUUCUAAUACCGAAAGAUUAUGCCAUGUUACAAGAACAAAAUGUAUAACACGCAUUAAUAGGUCCUGAUCCUCAUUGUUUGCUACCGACUCGGCCGCGAAUGUGGAUUAAGAACUCAAAUUUGGUGAUUAGAUGUCUACUCAAGUAAUCGCUAUCGUCCGGUAUCGUUUGUAGUUGAUAUAAUCGGGGCAUCUGAUCCCCGUCAACAAAGAAAUAUAGUUCGUCUUGCGUACACACUAACAAAUAUUCUACUUUAAUGUUAAGGAGAUCUAGAGUAAUUCUUUUGGACAUGAAAAAAGGGCAAAAAAAAAAAAAAGAGUAUAAGGUGGGGUCCUAUAUAUUCUAUAUAUUUGACAUGUAAAAGCAAAUAUACAAGUAAAAUAUUUAUUUGUGGGGUUUACUAUUCCAUAUUUAGGAGAACAAAAGGCAAGUGGAGAGUUAGGAAUUAAUGAACAACACAAUUCAUGAAUGGCCACACAUUGUUUAAGGCUUUGGAUGAUAUCAAAUGGGUCAGAUUUGUAGGAGGGAUGUGGAGUCCUUAUCCUCUCUCUCUCUCUCUCUCUCUCUCUCUCUCUCUCUCUUUUCCCUAGCUAGUACACAUGUGGGGACAACUCCUAAUAUUAAUUAAUUAAUUUACUUGUUAAUCCAAUUAUUCUUAUAUAAAUAUAUCUAUAUAUAAACAAACUAUUCCAUUCUUAUCCUCACCACCCUUCCCCUCAUUCAUAUACUUUUCACCUCAUAGCUAGAAUCCUCUCUAGCUAGAUCUCUCUCUCUCUCUCUCUCUCUCUCUCUCUCUCUCUCUCUCUCUCAACACACACAUUGCAUACACAUUACAAGUGAAUUCAAGGGGAUAUCAUUUUGCUAAGCAAGUAUGAUGGAGGAUUCAUUCAACAUCCCACAAAGCAACUUAAGAAGCAAUUGGAUGGUGGAUGAAGAAGAUAAUCUUGAGUCUAUGCAAUCAUUCUUUGAAGAAGAGCUAGAGCCUUCAUGCAAUUCUGUGAGUUCUUCGUCCUCGGACGAAGACGGAGACGCAACUUCUUCGAAUUCGUCGUCGACGGAUGAUAAAUUCGAACAGGGCUCUCCUCUAUUUGAGAUGUCUUCUCUCCUAGAACAACUUCCUAUCAAGUAAGCUCAAUCUUCUUCUUACAAUGGUUGUAAAAGAAGCGAAUAAGAACUUGCUACCCGCCAAAACAAUUCUACACUACAUUCCCUAUCAAUGAAAUUUAACAGAGAAUAUGUGGUGUUGAUAACUAUUGAAUGUUUUACCAUACAAUGAAAUUCGAUCAUUCUCUAUCAGCUUAAACUUUUGCCUAGUAGAAUAUCGUAUCGAAUUUGGGAACGAUCAUUAAUAUUAAAGUAGGAUAUUGUAUCCAAUUUAUUUCCCCUUUCUAUUAUCUUUGAUUAUCUCCUAUUGCACCGGGCAUGUGCGGAUACGCUUCAAAUUAGCUCUCUUGUACUUCAACCUAUUUGCUCUUUGUUAUUACACUUUGUUACACCAAAGUUUUAUUUUUGUUUCAUCACAAGGACCUGCGGUUAAAUAGAAAAGUAGCAUGCUAUAUUUUGCAAACUUAUACAUCGUAAUACUAAAAUAUCAUACUUCAUCAUUCUGUGAUUUGUAAAACAUAAGCAUUUGCAGGUCCUUACAAUGAAACAAAAAUAAAAUCCCAUGAUAGUAAAUUGCGCACAACUUUUCAAAUCAUAAGGUGGCAUAAUGACGAUGAGCAAAACCGCAAAGGCUAAUUGAAAUUUGCCCUAAAUUAAGUAUCAUGGUGAUCUCACAAUUAGCUAUGAAGAAGAAAUUUCAUGAAUCUAAUAAUCUUAAUUUGUGCCGAGUUUGAAGUAGUUAGUACUAACUCUUCUAACUCAUGCUCUUGAUCAAUAUUGCAGGAGAGGGCUCUCAAAGCACUUCCAAGGGAAGUCCCAAUCCUUCACAUCCUUAUCUAGUGUGAGGUGCUUGGAGGAUCUAAUCAAACCAGAGAAGCUACACAAGAAGAAGCAGAAGCAGAAGCUCAAGCCAUCAAAGAGCUCCAAUACCAUAGCCAAAAAGUCCUCAAGAAGCACUUUUUCCACACUUGGCUUAAGGAGGAGGAGCUUUUUGAGCAGAAGCACUUCCAUGGCUCCACAGAGACAAGGGAGCAGUGUUUCUAACCACACCCUUCUAUUUGCUUAAGAAAUAGAAGGGCUUGUAAUGAAAUUUAUAAGAUCAGUUGCUGGAUAUGAUUAUCUGCCUCAUUUACGAAAUGUCGAGUCAAUUGCGGUGUAAUUUAAUGCGCGAGAAAUCGACAAAAAUCUUCUAUUUCUAGCAUCAGUAUGCACACACUAAAUUGCAGAAUAUAAGAUGACGAAGUUUGGAUUGAGUAAACAGUUUUGAUAUGUUAUUCAAUUUUGACAUGCGCUUGCAAAAUGAUAUAUAUUUUCUCCCAAUACAAGUGUCACGAUACCUAUAAAUGAACUUAAUUUAGCAGUUAUAGUAAAGAGAGAAAAUGGAAGAGAAAGAACCCGAAUGUUUGUUGCAAGCGAUUCUCUGCGGCAUUUCGUCGAGCAGCUCCUGCGUCUGAAAUUUAAAGAUCAGAUCCGAUCCAAAUUGUAUAAGAUUCAACUCAAUGGCGAUCUCGGCGGCGAGUGAAGCCGAGUUGGAGGAGGAGGGGGGGGAGAAGAUAGAGCCAGAGCAAGGAGACGGCGAGGGAGGCGGCGGCAGCGGCGGCGGCGGGGGUGAAGAACCGCUCGUCGUCGUCGACGCGGCGGCGGCGGCGGCGGUUGAGGAGGAUGUAGAGGGAGGCCAAGGAGAGCGCCGCGAACACCCGGUUCGCGUACCGCAUCGCCGGCGACGGCGCGUUGUCGUCGUCGGCGCCGGCCCCCUCCACCCUCCUCCUUCUCAUGAUUAUGCCGCCGCCGUCGCCGUCACCGUCGCCGUCGCCGCCGAUGCGGUCGCGAGCGACGGUGUUCAUGAUAUGCAAGAAUAUGGUAAAAAGGAGCAACAAGUUUUAGCUUUGUACAGCGGUUGACUAGUAGAGGAAAGACGCCACUAAAUUUUUUUUUCUAUCCUUUAAAAUUUUAUACUUUAUUUUUAGAAAAAUAAAAAAUAUUCAUUUUAACCCCGCCGUGAGUAUUCUAUUUAUAUCCUAUUUUUUAUAUCCAAAAUACCCCUGAAACCUCUUUCUUUUUUAUCCUCGACCGCACCGUCUCGCCCUCCGCCACCUCGCCCUCGCCCACCUCUCUAUCUAUGCCUGUACGCAUGCCCUCGCCCGCCUCCGCCACCUCACCCUCGCCCUCGAUCAACUCUCCUUCUAUGCUCACCCUGAAAAAAAAAAAGAAGUAAUUUAGUCAUUUUAUCGUACUGUAAGUAUUUUUAUUUUUUAAGUGGGUAAAGUGUAGAUUUUUGAAUAAUAUGAAAAAAAUGAAAAAGCGGAUAUUGAGGGAAUUUUUUUUUUUGUAAUUUAGCCUUUUUUUUCUAAAAAAAGAUAGCGCGUUACCUAGUUUAUUUAUUAAAAACAUGAAUUAAACAAAAGUGAGGUGAUACAUUUAUUUAUAAAAAACAUGAACUAAGAUAUAGAAGUGAGGUGAUAGAUCUAUGCAGCAAGUGACAAAAAAAAGGAUUUAACUAGGAUUUAGGCAGAUACUUGAUCAAAGUGUAACCGCAGAAUAAUCUAGAACAACGAAUGGGACACACACAUUCACUUUUAAAUGAGUAUCUCCCAAGGAAAAAAUAUUGAGUAAGAAGGAAUGAAACUUAUCUCAACUAUAAAAUAUUUGGAUUCAGUUAUUUAAUAUUUCAAAAUUUUAAUUUUACUAUUUAACUUUUUAAUUUAUUUGAUUUGAAUCGGUCAAUAACAGUUUGACUCUAAAAUUUAAGCUAAUUAUCUAUUUUAAUUAAUUUAUAGUUAUGAGAAUUAUAUCAAAUAUACAAACUAUAUCUGUAAAAAUGAACGACAUAUUCAAAUUUUGAAGUUAUAAUAUCGUUGACUCACUCAAAUCAAAUAAAUUAAAAUGUUAUAUAAUAAUAACAAAAUUUUGAGAAGAUUGGAUAGCCAAAUUUAAAUAGUCUAUAGUUCAGAUAAGCUUUAUAUGUUUUCACCAGAAAAAUGCUACUCUGAGAAUAAAAGAUUACUUCGCAUGUUUUGUUCAUAUUUUUUCUACUUAGAAUCAGAAUCGAUUUCGUUUAUAAAUUAUAAUCCUUUGGUACAUAAGAGUUUCGUACAAUUUCUGAUUUCCAGAUGUAAUACAAUUAUAUAUUAUAUUUUUAUUUCAAAAUAAAUUAAUUUUCUAAUUUUAAUUUUAACUAAUAUAUAAGUUUAAAUUUAGAAAUUUUGUUGUAUCAUAAUUACUCUUCCAAACACAGACUUUCUUUCAAAAUUUCAUUAAACUAAUUUGGGAAAUUGCGUCGGCUCUAAAUUUAAACAUCCAUACUUGCGAUUGGAGAUCUUUUGAGAUUGCGGAGAGAUUGAAAUAUGUGCCGUAAGUAAAAACAACAAAAAAAAUGCCCUAUUUGUUUGUUCUGCAUACAUAUGCAAAUUUGGCGUUUGGUUUAAUAUAUUUAACUCCAGCUGCUGCAGUAGGAACCGUAGAAGAAGGUCCAACUGCAAUAGUUGGAACUACGCUCAAAUUGGCCGCGAUUCCAAUUGCAGUAACUGGAGAAAGUAAUAAAAGAUAAGCUUACAUUCUUAAUUAUUUUUAAAUAAAAACUCAUUUUUUUACAUUUGAGGUAAUCCCACCAUCAUAUAUAUAAAAUAUAAAAUUUUAAAAAUUAUUUCUCAAUUAUAUGCAACCAAGCAAAUUAUCUGUAGUUGCAGCGCUUUCUACUAUAUUUAACGAAACAGAAUGUAUAUAAUUACGACUGCUACAUUUCCAACUGAAUGCAUCUCCAACUAUGCUGUAUUUAUAAUUAUACCUAACCAAAGCGGCUCUUAUAUGCUUUCGCCCUUGACUCCAUUUUACCUAUUAGUUUCAGCGGGGCCUUAAUAUCAAACAAACGGACCCUAACUCUACUGUACGAAAAAGAACUUUUACUAUCUAUUAAUUUUACGACGAGGCGGCGAAAAUUUUAUAGUAACUUACUGAGCAUACCACAUUUUCUUUCCAACGCAAUCCCAAAAAAUCUCGAGAGAGAGAGACCUAACGGGCUUUUUUAUAAAAUGGCCCUCCAGAAAUUCGAAUUUGGCAAAAUAAUCCUAUCAAAAUUUUAUUUGUAAAACUAACCCCUUCACAACAAAUAUUACAAAGACGGUAAACGAUUCACCGUCUUUGUGAGGAAUCCUGACGUGGCGCCCACGUGGUGAAAAGAGGAUUAGUUUUACAAAUAAAAUUUUGGCAGAAUCAUUUUAUCAAUUUCGAGUUUCUAGAGGGUCAUUUUAUAAAAAAGCCCAAACCUAACAUUCAAAUAGUAGCCCUCGCGACCAGUAGGAUAGAAAAGAACACCGGCACAGAAAUUCUUCAGCAUUUCUUCUCUCUCUUCUUCUUCUUCUUCCUCCCAGAAACGUGUUCUUCCCCGCCGUUCUCCAAAUCGUUGAGAAAUCUCCGUGUUCUUCCCUGGCGUUCUCCAAAUCGUCCAGAAAUCUCCAUCUGCUGAUCGGUACAGCGGUAUGCAUUAUUUUUUCUUUUUUGGGUUCAGUUUUCACGGCCUAGUUUUGUGUUUUUUGCUACAAUACGGCGCAAAAGAUAGCAUUUUUUUGACCGCAAGCGAGGUGGGAGCAGUACUGCAGCCUGCAACAGCAGAUUUGCACUGUACACACAAGCUCAGUAGAUUUGCAGAUUUGCAAGUAACCUACAAUCAUCACCUGGCGACUGCAGGGUUAGGCCAAAGUGUUGUGUUCAUAAAAAGAGUAGUUCGCUAUACAUUUUAUACUCAAAAAUUCACCACUGCAGCUAAAACGAAGUCCGAAAACCCAUCCAUGUCUACAUCAAAGCAGAAGCUCCAAUUUUUCUGUGUCCCAAAACCAGCCCUUUCUAGAGCUACAACAUUCCAACAAGCAGCAACUCUGCUCUGGGUAAGUAGAAUAGGAAUCCCCAAUUCAAAGCUCAAUCUUCUGUUCUGUUGUAACAAAAAGUGUCAUCUGGCUCAGCAGAUUUUAGUCGCCCUAACUAAACACGCUAAAUAGUAGGAUGUGUAUCUCACAUCAAUAUUAUCUAUUCAACACUCAUUAACUAACACGCAAAAUGGUUGACAAAGUAAACUUGGUAGAUAUUUUGAUAUAACUAGACAGAUUUUUUUUUUUUUUUUUGGAUAUAAUUUUAUAUUUCAGAAGAACUCCACAGACAGAAUUUGAAAGAAGAUUGUUGGUUUACACGCGAAAAUAAGUUUUUCUAAUUCUGGGGAUUACACCGAGGACUGAAUAUUAUAAUACAGGACUUGAAUGAUGGCAUUUGGUCACUAUUCUAAGGCUCAAAAUGUAGAGAUUUCGAGUUGAUCAAACUUUUGAAACCUUAGACCUGAGACCGCCGAGCUUUCUGAGCUUUUGUAUUUACCUUGCUCUUUUGUCCUGGAGAGAGAAAGAGAGAGAGAGAAAGAGAGAAAGCGAAGUCCAUUAAUUCUAAUGGAUUGGAUGAUAUUGUGUGAUCCCACGUUUUGGCGGUAGCUUCCUCAAGAUGAAAAGAACUAGAGCUGAGGGGAGAAUUUCAACCAGCUGCAAAAUAUUAAGCAAGUGUUAUCGAUACAAACAUAGACGGGAAAAAAGAAAACAUAAAAUUUAAUUAAAUAGCCUUUUGUUUUUCAGAAGAAGCAUAUUAUGAUAUAAAGAAUCGUGCCCUCUGUUUGCUUCAUGUUCUCUAUCAUAUCCAAUGAGGUCCUCAUGGAUAAUUUUAUGAUUUCUGUAUCCUGUAGCUUUAAUUGCAAGUAAAAGGGCACUUUACUUAGGCCCUUAACCCCCUCCCCUACUUUUUUUUAAGGAAAAAAAAAAGAAAGAAAGAAAAAUACUUAUGUUUGGUACUGAUAUUGCACUUACCAUAAUUUAACAAGUAGAUUAUUAGGAUGGCGUAAGCUACUGUCUGAUAUAAUAAAAAAGUGCUGUAGCCAGUUGGAACUUUUUCUUCUUUACAAAAUGUAUACUCUCCUAUGAGUGUAAAAAAACAUCUUGAACAUCUCUAAAAUUGUUAUUAUUAUUUUGGGUGAUAACAAUUCAAGCAUGUUGAAUGAUCCUGAAGUGCAAUUAGAGGUUAUUUUGUUCUCGUUAAUGACAAAAUUUAGUCCUUGUUUGAUCUUAGAAUAUAUCACACCUCAAAGUUUAAAUUUCAAGAUUUAGUCCACUGUUUGGCAAGGGGGACAAUUAAGUUCCUAGUACUCCACUGUCUGAGAAAAGAUGCCAAGUCAGGAUCCUUGUUGGGGUUCGCUGACAUAACAAUUUUCUGCAGUCACAGCUUAAACUAUGAGUCAAAUCGGGAUCAAGCUUAAGGGAUUACAUUGUGAUUAAUCCUGCUUAUUGUCAGUAAUUUCAUGUAACCCUCACUGCUUUAUUUGUGUUUUUCAUAGUUGAAACUUCUUCUGCCACUAUGCGGCAACUAAUCUCGCUGACGUUGAACUUGGUAAACUGAGAUGGUGAAUAAUUGAAAAGCACAUCAAAGACCUAAUAGCAUGGCUCUUAACUAGUCUCUGGACACAUGCUCUACUGUCAAGGUACGCUUCCAAGCCCUUGUAGGUAAUUCUGCACAUUUUUCUUGGGGUUUCCUCUUCCUUGUUCAUAUUCAAAAGAAAGGCUCACCCUCAUUACUCCUAAAUAGUCUUAUUUCUCUAAGUGCCUAGUCUCAAAAAAGUAAAUUACACUCCACUACUAGUCUGCGAAGCAUAAUUUAGUCGAAAUCAAUAGCCACAAAAUCUACUCGGAAUUUCUAUUUUCAUAACCUGUUGUUCCAUUUAAAGGAUCACAUCGCCCACAGCUUUAAAUGACAACCCAAUUAACAACAAAAUAUCAAAUUUAAUCAAGUUUUAUCAUGCCGGAGAAAAAGAGGAAUACAGAUUCAGGCUUACCAAGUAGUAUAAAAAGUUGAGAAUCGGAUGGUUCAGAACAUCUAGGUCUGCCGCUUUAUCAAAUGCAUUGAAGAACAUCUGUGUCACACAAAUGUUUUAGUUAGUUAAUCUAUUACUGUAACACCUAAACAAUCUCAGCAGAAAUUGAGACGCGCCACACGUACCAUAAUGCAUCUCACCAAGAAGCAAGAAAAGCAUAUGGUGGUCACAUAACCAACCUAUAAAAAAUUACAAAAAUAAGAAAGAACAAGGUUAUAAGCCAAAAAUUACCAUUCAGGAGGACUGCUUUCAUGGGUUACUAACUUAGUCCCUAAACUUUGUUAUACAAAACAAAUAAGUCCUGUUAGUAUACAGGUGAAUAAGUUACAACAUCUGCACUAUAAUUAAAUUUCGCUUAGUUGAAAUUCAAAUUUGAGAAUGACAAUUAUGUUCGGGGUCAAAUUUUAAGGAUUAUAUUCUUAUUUUAACUCCAAACACAAAUUUAAAAUAAGAGUCAAACUGAUCAUCUCUUCAUCAGGAACUAAAUUUGUAUUAAUAUAAAGUGAGUGAACCCAAAGAAUACCUCCUGCAACUUUUUGCGCCGCCCUUUGGAUUCAACAGGAAAACGUUGCAACAUGAAGAAAAGCCUAGCAAAAAUGAACCAAAAAAAAAACAAUAAAAAAGCAUAAUUCCUUACGAGUAGUAUAUGUAACAAGACAGUACAAUUGUGUAAUAGAAAACAGUCUGAACUUGUAAAAGGAAGUAAAUCAUCUCAAAAUCAGCUCUCUGUCCAAAACUGGCACAACUACAAGUUAUUACUUAACAAAAUUCUAGAGAAUGAAGAGCCAACCAUACCAUGGGGCAAUUAAUAUUCUUCAGAAACUGGUAAUAGUAGUAACUUUUGUACAUCUGAACUAAGUUAAGCUACAGUUAUAUUAAUCUCACAGUCAUAUCGGCAUUUACUUCUGAUGUUUUGAGUAGCCAAAUAAUAUUAAACUAUAUAGAACCCAUGACACAGACCUAGUAGACUUGAUUACGGACUGAAUAUUAGUUGACUCAGGAUCAACCCAAACUAAAGAGAAACUUAAAUUCCAUUAGAACCCCAUUUAAUCCACUAAAAAAAGUUUGAAUCUAAAGCAAUCAACUGAGCAAAUUGGACACAAUUUUGACACAAAUAUAAGUGAUGUAUUGAUUCUCCAAAUUGAAUUGCAUCAUCAGCUAAUUGUAAAGAGGGAAACAACAAGAAGGAAGCAAGCGGCAUUUUCAAAUUUUAACUAUGUUAGCUGCCAAGUUUAUGUUAAAUUAGAAACACAUAUAAAUACUAGCUAAUUAAGGGAAACUAAUGGAAAGAAAGGUAACAUGGAAGACUAACCAAAGUAGUCGAAAAUAGAGAAAGUAUCAUUACCUUCCUCCAUAGAGUAGGAACCCAAGGGCUGCAAACAACGAGACACCUGCCAAUAUAAAAAAAAGUAUUAAGGCUUUUUGGGUACAGAAGAAAUUGCAGUAAAAUGAGUAAGAAAACCAGGAAAAUAUAAACUUCACCUGCAAAGAAUAUCUUUGACAAGACUACCAUAGCUUGAACAGGCUUCCACCACAAAAGCAACCAAAGAGCUAACUGGAAGAAGUUAGAAUGAGCUAACUCCACAAGCGUAAGUCACAAACAUUGAGAAGAGUAGCAAAACUAACCAAUAGAUCAACAACUAUGUAAACCACUAACCGAAAGAAAAACAGGAGUGCAAAUGUCAGAAAUAGCUGGACUUGCCAUUUACACUAUGUAUUCACAUUCAAGCUAAUGUAUGUGAACCCAAUAACCAAAUAGGUUGCAGCAUUAUGUCAUCAAGGUCAGAACAACCUAGUGAGUUUAAACAAAAUUCAAUUGCCUAUGUCCUUAAGCCUAUUAGAAUGCAACAUAAUAUCAAAGAAGGAAGAUGUCCAGGGGCGAAAACACACACACACACACACACACACACACACACACAAAACUAAUGUCGGUCAUUUUAAUAUAGAACCUCAAACUUACAGGUUUUUUUUUUAAAAAUUGACAAUCCCUCAACUUUUGCUCAUUUUGGUUUGACUUAUUUUUAUUGGCUCAAAUCAAAUCACAAUUUACAAAUCAAAAGACUAUCUCAAUAUAUGUGGAAUAACUAGCUAGCUUCCUUUCGCAUAUUGGCAAAUUACGAAGAUUGUUCUUAACAAAGUUAGCUUCCUGUCUUGUUAUACUAAAAUUUAAAAAUGUCCAGUGCUUAAAGUGUAUAUGAGAUGUGGACACACCAUCGAUGUGAUGACCUAAUAAUGCAGGUGAUAUGUUACCUGUAUGGCAUACACGACUCCAUUGAUUGUGUAGAAAGUAGGUCUUAGCCCAUCAGUGGAUAUUGCACGCGCCUGUCAUGCCCCAUUUCGGAGAGACAAAAUAAGGAAGCAUGACCAAAUGAGAUCUAAAAGAAAUAAGCACUGAUCAAUACCCAGUGAGACAUACCUGAUAAUAUAUUUCAGCCCAGAAGAGAACUAGGAGUGCAUAAGUUGUGAAAAAUGCAAGGCCGGGUAAAUCAAGGAGAACAUGUUGAAAGAUCUGGAGCACAAGUGCUAUAAGCUUAAUGCAUUAUAUUCAAAUGAAUAUACCAGUAGAUAUUGCCAGGUUAAUUUUGUACCUCGGGCUUUAUUUUUUGCACACUACGCCGUAAAGCAAAGACAACCGAACGUACUAUAAGAAAGCAACAGAAAAGCAGUGUCAGUGUAAAAGUUAUCAAAGCACAAAAAUACCACGCUAUAAUGGGUGUUCACACAUACCGCCAUUCACCAAGAAAUUCAAGAAAUGGAAAACCUUCUGUGUUGUCCAUCCAUACUCAGGCACUCUGCAUUCGAUUCUAAUCAAUUGGAUCUGAAAUGGGAAAUUUAGUACAUAAAGUUAAAAUUUACUACAGCCUUUAGAUACUUCCUUUUUUUUUAGGGAGAACAUGGAAGUACAAAAUCAAAUUAAAAAAUUCAAACUCAUGACCUUAGAUAUUUUAUUUGUGUUAUUCCAAAUACGAAUAGAAUACAGAUAAUAUAUGGGUAACAGUGUGGAAAUCACGUUAGCCUCAAACAGACAUGCAAAUUAUACAACAACUAAAAUCAUGUUUGUUUGACAUAUAGAGAUAUCAUCAACAAUUAAAUAUGUACAACAAAUAAAUUGGAAGAUACCAAAAAGCAUGGAAAAAUAUGCAUAUUGUCAAACACCCUGUAGAAUUUUAUGUUUGAUUAUAUAUUAAGGUAUAUGAAUACCAUAAUCUAGAAUCAAAUCGAGUACUAUAAUCCAUAUCUAUGUCCAGAGGGUAAAGAUAUAGAGUCUAAAUUCACACCGAACAAGGAAACCUGGCGCAGUAAGAAAAGAUACAAAUUUUGGAAGCUGGAUAAGAUGGAUAACGUAUGAUUCAUUAUCACUCAAAUCAAUAAAUUAACCAAUUAAAUCUUGUUUUUAAUGACCCAAAUGCUAAACAAGUACCUAGUUAUAAUUGGCAUUAACUAGUCAGGCAAUAGGAAAAACAUCUCAAGGCAUUAAAGUGUUGCAGUUAGAGAUAUAGGAUCUUAAAGUGGAAUAGGGAUAGUUUUACAACACGGAAGCAUAUAGAGUUUUCCCAAAUUACCAUGGCUUUACUUACAAAAAUCAUCCUUGGACAUAAUUUUUUUUUCCCAUCUUUCUCAAUUAUCCCGGAACAUUUAGAAUUGUUGAAAUUUGAACUGUCGCACUAUACUCUCAUCUCAAAUAGGUUCAAAUAAUAUGAUUAACUAUAAAGCCAAGAUGGAAAAUUCACAGCAGAUAGUUGGCACAUAGAGUUGCUGUCUAAAUGAUAGAUCUAAAACCCCCCCAAAAAAAAGAAGAAAUCUCUUCCUUUACUGCAGAACCCCCCCUCCGAACCGUGAUCUGGAUUACACAUAUCGAUUUGUGGUGGGUUCUCGAUCUGGCUCACAAAAAGGGGGGAACCAGAAUAGUAGAGAAGCACUUCAAUUUUUCUAGAUCUAAUAUGUUUAGUUACCUGAAAAAAAAUGUUUUACUAGAUAGAAUAAUACAAAAGAGUCAUAUUCCUAUGGAAAAAAUUGAGGCAAGUCUUGAUUAGAAUAGAGAAUAUCCAAUCCAACCUUAAUGAAAGAAAAGAACUAUACGAUAACAAAGGUAAGUUAUUGAAUUUUUAAGAUCUGUACUGACAUUCUAAGCAAACCAAAUUCAGAAAUAACGUUUCGACUAAUCAUACGCCCCUCGUACCGCACUCCUAUGAAACUAGCGAAUCACAAUUCCGUACUCCUACCACACACCACAGCGUAUCCCAUUCCAGGCGACAUUGUACAAGACCUACCUAAAUUGGCACUGUAUCACACAAUUUAUUCAAUUUGUAUAACUCUCUUUCUAUUUUAGUAUAAUCCACAUCAUCCUAACUCAAUUCCAUGAGUUUUUGCAUCCAAAUUCAACAAUCAUCCCUAUUUCCAGCCCUAUGUGGUAAUAGAGCCUCAAUUGACAAUGUUGGGGAUUAAUUCAUAUAAGAAUGAAAGUGCACAGUUAUUGUUGCUAAUUUGGCCUUAAAAUCUUCUAUACCGACUUUCUACAAUUAUUGGAAUUAAAAUUAACACAUAUAUCCAAAUCCCCAACAUUAGAAUAAUAAUCACAUGAACAAUUGGAGAACCCUAACAGCAGAUCCCAGAUAUCAAUGGGGAAAACAAAUCGAAAGGAUCCAAAAUCGAAUCUUACGAGGGCCACGACUCCAACGAAUCCGUAGAGCGCGGCAAGGGCGUGGAAGAUCCGAUCCUGCCACACAGGCGAGUUGUUCAACUCCUCCCACCAAUCGGCGGCUGCGGCGGCCCUCCGUAGCGCCACCGCCUCCGCCGCCGCCGACGCCGACGAGGCCAUGGAUCGCCUUCCCGAAGUGUGCGUCCCCUCCACGAAAUCGAGAUUGGUGAGCAAGGGAGAGAGAGAGAGAGAGAUUAGGGUUAGGAAUAGGGAAUUAGGGUUAAUUAGGGUUAGGGAUUAGGGAUUGGAGACGAGAGAGAGGGAGAGAGGGAUCGAAGGAGAAAGGGCGAGAAGGCGAGAGAGAACAGGAGAGAGAGGAAAGGGAUUGCGGUGGAAGUUAAAAUUGAUUUCGAUUUCUCAGUAAUCGCCUGUACACGGUGCACCACGUCAUCUCUAAACCGCCCAAAAUUUUUUUUUUGGGUAUAUAAUUAGACGUUAUAAUUGUUUAAUUUUUGCUUCUUAAACAAUUUUAAUAUUUAUAAUUUAGUAUAAUAAUAUAUUUUAUUUACCAACUAAUUUAUUUAUUUUGAGAAAAAUAAUUUAGAGAUUGAAUACAGUAUUCAUUCUAAAUAUUCUGUCACACUCAUCAUCUAUCAAAUAUUAUAUAUUUUUUAAAUAUGCUGAAUAAAAUAUUCAUGUAUUCAAAUUAUUUUCUAUAUUUAUUUAUAGGAGCUGUUGAAAAUUCUUGUUAAAAUAUGUUCUAAUUUUGAGUUUUAAUUAUUUACAGUAGUUUUCAAAAAUAAAAUGUUAUAAAAAAAAAAUCACAAUAAAAAAUUGUGUAUAUAAUACUUAUAAUAAGAAAUUUAUCAAAUUAGAGAAAAGAGUUAGUACGGUUAGUAAAUUUUUUUAUAUUUUUUCGAAAAUGCUAAACUGGGACUUUUAUUAAAAAAAAGUAAAAUUUAAAAAAUAUAUAUCAGGAUUAAAAAAAUUAUAAAUAUUUUGUAAAAAUUGUGGGUUUCAAACUUUCAAUGUGUGAUGGUGGUUUCAAGAAUCCGUAGGAUGGAGGGUGGAUAGUGGAUGGUCCACGGAUGACGCGGUGGACCACGUUCAGGCAAUUGGUGUGUAAACGGGUGGGGGACACGUACGGCAUGGGAGGGGCGGUGGAUGGGAAUGGGAAAAAAUGGAUCGGGUUAGAAUCAAAAGAUCCGAAUCCGAUUAUUAGGCGCUUUAUGCUUUAGAUGUACUUUAAUAAGGUAGUGUUUGGUAAAUUUUGAAGGAUAAAGUUUUUUUUUCUUUCCAGUUUCGAGAAUAAAAAAUAUUAUGAUAUAAACUAGAAUAUUGUAAAUUUAUAUUUGGACACAUUUUGAUAUUUUUUAUAGUGUUUCAAAAAAGAUGUAGCAAAAAAAAAAAAGAGAAGUAUAAAUCUCAUCUCAACUAUCACCAAUUUUGAUGUAACUAUGUAACUUUUAAUUUAUUUUAUUUGAGUCUGUUAAUAACUAGUUAACUUCAAAAUUUAAAAGCACAUUUAUCUUUACGAAUUAUAUAGCAUAUUUUAUAUAAUUCACAUAAUUAUAAACCUAUUAAAAUAAGUAAUCAAUUUAAAUUUUAUACCAAAAGAGCCAUCAUAUGACUUAUCAAAUAAAUUGAAAGGUUGGAUACUUAAAUUAAAAUUUUAAAAGAUUGAAUAGUUGAAUUAAAAUGGUUUGUAGUUUGGGUAAAUUUUAUUAUUUUUACAAAGAAAAAAAAUAUAGUAGCAACCUUUGUUUUU
rnacentral:lncRNA from 1 species